rnacentral:lncRNA from 1 species
UUUUUUUUUUUUUUUUUUAUAAGGCUAACUCGAUUCCUGUUCUUAAAAUAAGCGAACAGACGUUACAUAUUAGAUUCUACUGCCAUGCAUGCACAUGUUGGACUCAUCCACUUAUUUGGUCCAUGACCAAUCCAUUUUCAGGUUAUAACUUCUAGCCAAUAAGUGGUCAAACGAAUACUUUCGGCAAUCGCCGGCUUUUUAAGGUUGUUUGGGAAUUAAGUUUAUCUGCAAAAAGCCUGAGUUUCUCAGAAUUGAAAAAGAAAACUUUCGGCAAUCAUACAACACGGGGAAAUAAAUGAAUUGCCAUUUCGAUUGCAUAACCACUAGAAAGGGGCUAAUUAAAGCCACAAAUUACCCUCUCCAAAGAAACUUGGCAAGCAUGAGAAUUUUGGAAAGAUGUGGGGCAAAUAUUGUGAAUUCAUGGUGUGGCUGGGCAAGUACGGCAGAUUCCCGCAAGCGGAAAGCGACAAUAAGAUCCAUCCGGCAGCAGAACAAUAAUAAAACUGCAAAAAGAAACCCUGACCAUAAAAGCACUAAUCAAAAGAAGCACAUCCACCUAGGAGAGUCCGCGUCACCAGAGCCACUCCACCCUCCAUUAAGCAACCAAUUCAAUUACUACUUCGCAUGAAUACUUUCUAAAUUCAUUAAUAAAUCCAAAACCUCUCUCCUAAGUCCAAACUGUAAAACCAGCUUAGUCCAAUAAUAAUAAUAAUAAUAAUCCAACUCCACUUAGAUGAGUUGAUCACUGGGUGAACCAUAAUACAUAGGCUUAAUUGGAUAUUAAAAAUCCAAACCUGUGCACUUGUUUUAAAGUUUAAAAGAUAUGUAGUGGUGCAUUUUUUUAAAUUUAAUUUAGAGGUGGAUCCUCUUCUUUUAACUUUUCUCAGCCGAGUUGAUUUGACACCGAAAAAAAAAUUAUAAUCUAUUUAUUUUACGGGUAGCAAUGAUUAUAACACUAGUUGCUUCAAGAAAUGUUUUCAGCUUUAUGAUGCUUCCAAUAAAACACAAACCUAACGGUCUAUCUGGAUGCGUUAGCAGUUUUUGGUUAUUUAUUUCUCUCUACUCACAUUUCUCUGUUUAAUAACGUCUUGUGGGCAGAAGAAUACUUAAAUAUCUAUAAGGAUCGAAAUGUUCAGUUAUUGAUGUGAUUUGGGUUGAGGAAAUGGGGGAGAUUGGAGAAAUCUAGGGCUUUGAGAGGGCCCUUUUCAUUCUGGAAGAAAAAGGGCCCUUUGCAAAGUUUCGGGAGUUUAGAUAGAGAGAAGAAAUGAAGGAGUUGAUAGGGAGUCCGGGGACUGUUUGUGGGUUGUUAUUAAGGAUAGGGCAAUGUGUAUUUGGAGCUGCAUCCAUUGAGUUAUGGUCUCUGCUUAUGGGUUUUCCAACUACACUGCGUUCUGGUAUGGAUUCUUCCUUCGCAUUGAGUUUUCAGAAUGUGGUAUUUUCAUGCUUACUGGCUUUAGUUGAUAGGAUCGGGCCACUUGUUUUCUACUUCCUCCUUAUCGAAACAAAUUGUGCGCUUUGGAUUUUGUACUUGCCUUGAUCUUUGCUUUCCUCUGGUAUCAGAUCUUCUUGGGCAAAGGGAUUUUAUAGUUCAGCCUUUUCUCUAUAAAAUGUUGACACGAGUUUAUUUGGUGCCCAAUUUUCAUGCACCAUUGUUUCUGGGUGUUUUGGUAUCAAGUUUGCUGCUAUUUUCAGAUGAAGUAAAGUAUUUGUUCUAAUUUCUGUUGGAAUUGAAAAUGCGCUACGACAGCUCACUAAAUCACUUCUGGACAUUUUGGAGCUGACCAUAUUCGCUGCACCAUUUUGAAGAUUGGAUGUGCGGACUUUUUUUUUUUUUCUAGUUUAUAAACUUACCUUAUUUAUCCCUUUACCUUAACAGACAAGAUGUGCAAUUGGAUGAGUUAAAUUGAGACAUCAGUUGAUAAUCAAAAGUUAAACAUCUAACCUAGAAAGAAAAGUUACUAUUUGGAGGACGUCAUCAAUUUGAAGAGGCAUAGAAUGUCGAGCAAUGAAAAUUGUAUUGGUGCAGCAUCUGUGAUAACUGAUUCUUUAUAACACAACAAAGAAAUCCUCCUGUAAGUGGGGUGCUUUUCGAUCGAAUAUAUCCAAGUGCUAAUAAUGUAAUUCGGUGGUUGUUUAUCCUAUACUUAGAAGAGAAAGUAGUCUAGUCUAAGGACUCUUGAUUUUUUCUUAUCUGCGCAUGCCUGUUAUUGUUGCCUUCCACACCCACAUAUAUUUGCGGAUAUAGGUUUCCUUGAUUUGGCUUUUGAAAAAGAUACUACGACUGUUAUUCACUUUGGUAAAUUAUGACUUCUGAUUUCAGCUAUUUGAUUGCAUCGAUGGGCUUCAAGUUUGUGGAGCCUUGGACUAGCAUGUCUUGAUGUCUAUGCUUUGAGGAUAAAGAGAGACCUUCGAAAUCCUGUUUUAGUAAGCCUGUUCGUUGUUGGCGAUUGGGUACCUUACAAAUCCCUCAAUCUGUCUCUUUUACAUGAAUAAUUUGCUUAUCUGGCACUGGUGAGUUAGCCUGUUACCAUGGCUGGGCUUUGAUUGUGAGAGAGAGAACAAUAAUUGCAGUAAACUCCAGUUUUAUUCAACUUUCUUGUUUAGCACUCUUCUAACUCCCAUUUCGCCCUUUGCAUGCAUAAUUUUUGGGAUCAUGUUUAUUACGGCAACACCCAGUACAUGGAUAUGACUCUCAAUACGAAGUAAAAUUGCUGAUCUUAACCAUCCUGCGGCAAGAGGCGUAUUUAGCAUGAUGUUCUUUAUAUGUGAGAUUUAGGUCUCAUAACAUUUUCAAGCUAUAGUUUUGAAUAUUGUUUCUCAUCAUUGUGUUUUCUGUCCUUUUGUGCCUAGCUUUGUUCAGUAACUUCCAAGUCAGAGAACUUUUUUCAACACAAUAUUCAGUUUUGUCAGCACUAGAGCUCUUAUACAACUUCCUUUUCUGUCAUAUCUCACUAGACUUGAAGUCUAUUAAUUACAUCUUUCUGUUUAUCCUUAGUAACUGUAAGCGUUCCAUGUUGAUCUAUGGCUGCGUGCUUAAUUUUGCUGAAAUUGAUACGGAAGACAGUUUUACGCUUACAUGUUUUGCCAGUGCUAAGUUUUGAAAGGCUACUAUUCCAUGUAUCAAAAAGACAUGCGUUUGUCUUUGCUCCCAUAUUGAAAUCAACUUCACGCAAAUAAAGUGUUCUUAUCCUAUUUGGUCUUUUAUAUCUUUCUUUGUUUCUUUCAUUAUAUUCUUGUUGGUUUCUUUCUUAUAUAUUUUCUGAUUGGGGGAUAAGUGAUGCAAUGCAGGUGACAGCUACUCUAUCACUUGCAGCAGCAUGCUCAUCAGCUGGGAUAGCAGUUUUGUAUGCCAAAGACUUGAAAUACUGUAAGGGCCCAAUGCAACCUUCCUGUAGCAAAUUUGAACUCUCCAUUGUUCUGUCUUUCAUCACUUGGUGUCUGAUCGCUGUAUCUUCUCAUGUAAUGUUCUGGAUACUAGCCUCAGUUUAGGUGCUUGAAGCUCUUUUCACUUUGUCUACUUGGCUCAUCUUAAAAAUCAUCUUUCACUUCUAUAUUGUGACUGCAUUUUCUGUGAGAGGAAAAACUAUCCUUCAUUUGAUCCAUAUUGGUUGGUAGCUUUCUUCAUUUUUGUUACAAUAACUGGGCUCUUUUGGCCUACACCGGGUAAUAUUUGUUUUCCAGCAGGGGAAGAGCUUGUCCUGAAAUUUUGAUGUUUCUUCUCCCCAGUUUUUCCAGGAGGGGCACUGUAAAAAUAUUCUUCCCUCCUGGAGGUUGAGAAGAUCAAUAGGUGCCAUUUUUCUUUGCUUUAUUAACGUGCAAUUACAGACGCGGACAUAACUGGAGCGAAAGGUCGUAACUUUGUGAUGAAAUGAUUAAUGACGAAUGAACAGAUUAGACAAAACUUCUUGACCAAUUUGUGUCUGGUAGGUAUACAAGGCAGACGUUUUAAAUUUCACACGCACAUUUUUCCCUGAUCAUAAACACACAAAGCCAGCAGUUACCUGGCCGUUUACUCACAAAUGAGGAAAUAAAAAUCCAGGGAAAGGGGCAAAAUCGAAAAAGAAAUGCAGAGAAAGCUACAAAACACAAAGCACAAGGAAGGACCAAAGCAAUCCUAGGAAUGAAUUCUGGCUAGGGCUUGGACAGGUAAAUUGCUCUGCUUUUGAAUCAUUAGCGUCGAGAAUACCUAUGACAUACUCAAUUUCCUCGGCAACUUCUCUCAUUGAAGGUCGGUUUUGCCUGCGCUCAUCUAAGCAUGCCGCUACUAAAUUAGCAACUGCUUGCAUGGUCUCCAGCUCCACUUUGCUAGCCCAUUCUUUAAGGGUUGGAUCAAUGGUGUCCAUCAGUUUAUCUUCACCCAAAAUCUUUUUCACGUAAACCACCAGGUUCACCAGUUUAUCAGUCAGUUGGAGAUUGAUGCAAUAUUCAGGAUCGAGAUAGCCUAGAGUGCCUUGAGCAGAGGUAUUGAUGUGGGUAUACUCGCUUUCGUUUGACUCCACCAGUCUAGAAAGCCCAAAAUCAGUCACCUUGGCAUCUAGCCUUUCAUCCAGCAAAAUAUUGCCGGAUUGCACGUCUCGGUGAUAUAUCGGGGGAAUAGCGGAAGAAUGUAGGUAUGCAAGACCAUCGGCGGUCUGGUAGGCGAUAAUGAGGCGGCGCAGCCAGUUGUGGAGACGAAAUCCGUGAAGGCGGUCGAAGAGCGUCCCGUUCGGGACGUAUUCAUAUACCAGCAGAGGUUGCUCAAGCUCAACACAGCAUCCGAGUAACCUAACCAGACUUCGAUGGUUCACCUGGCAAAGAAUUCGAACCUCGUUCAGCAACUGAACGAUGCCCUUCAUGUUUCCGGGCUUGGCACGCUUGACUGCAGCUAUUGUUCCGUCGUCGAGGGUGCCUCUGAAAACUUCACCGAAGCCUCCAUAACCAAGUAGAUUGUCCUUGGAAAAGUUGUUUGUUGCUCUCUUUAUCUCCUUGCCUGUGAAGAUUUUUGCCGACCUCCCAUUACUUUUGGCAUUUAAGAUUUCUUCGCGUUCCUUCACUAAAAUUUUUUUAGCUCGUCUCUUUAAAAGUUGACGUCUUUCAUAUGCUACGAUUCCACAUAAGAUGAGUUGCAGGAUUGCACCAAGAGCGGCUGAAACAACAAUAAACACACGAGAGAUGGUUUAUUGCUUGAAAAUUUGCUGCAGUAUAUACUUGAAACAGCACUAGCAAAGUACCUCCAAUUGUUGGCAUUUUCUUCUUCCGAACUUCACAAUUUUUUUCGUGCCUGCACCCUGCACAGAAAGAGUCGUACGUGACGGUGUUAGUAGCAGAGCGACACUGGGAACAACUGAAAUUUGUUGCCUCUGGUAUUUGGAAAUAAAGCUUUUCAUUGACUUCUUUAUCUUUCCGGGAUCCAUUAACCAUUUCCAAAAGAUUCUUAAUAUGCAUUACAGAAUUUAAAUACAUAAUUUAGCAUAAACCAUUUAGGUACAUAUUGAUAAGAAUUUAACGCUCCUCUUACUUCUAGAGAUUUGCUCUGGAGGAGGACUACCGUCUAACUCCUUUCUUUUUUUUUUUUGGGUGAGGAGGCUGGGAAGGGGAGGGGGGGCGACAUAUUAGAGUGGCCGCAGGGCAUGGUUAAAAAAUAAUAUAUAUAUAUAUAUAUUCUGAAAGAUUGCUAAAUGAAUUGGCAAAAUUAGAAAAGAAAAACUGUGCUACUAACUUUCACAAUAUCCGGAAGAAGAGUCCCAAUACCGGCCGGUCGUGCAAACACUCCUCUUCUGACUGACAUUUGCCCGGUCAGGCGCCAAACACCUGGAAUAAGGCAACUGGACACAAUCAACAUCAGAUUUGCAAGGUGGUUCUUUUGGGGUCACCCACAUUAGCUCCAUCCCAGGCGCUGGCCAGUCGGCAACAGGCAAAGAAGGGUCCAAAUUUACAAAGCUCUGGUACGCCAAGCAUCCACCUUCAUGAACUCUAACGAAGUGUGCAGUUUGUGAUCCCCUGUGUGUGAAUGAGCAACAUAAUCUCGUAUCAGGGAGAUUUCAAGGAGCCAUUGCUCGAACGGUACUAACGUAGUUGUUGUGACAAAUGCUGGAAUCAGAACAAUUUAGCUGGACUUGCAAGUGCAACAUAUUGUCGGUGCAGUUCAGCAACAAAACAGUAUUGCUGCUUGUAAUGUUGAAAGGAAGUGCGUCGCCAAGGUGAAUUCCUUCACUAUUGAGAUCAGUCGAUAAACAUGUACUUGGGAUAAAUGAUGGUGGCCGGAUAAUCAUUCUCUGAUUUUGUGGAUCGAUGGAUGUGACCAUGUAUGCUGACCCAUUAAGACCGUCUACCCACAAUUUGCCACCGAUGCACCUGACUGCGUAGGCUUGGUCGCCGCAGUUUGGUCCGGUGCUUAGAGGGUAGGGCACUGGAGUCUGCCCACAAUUGCCGCAAUGUAGAGCACCAUUGCCAACCUAACGCAAGAUGAUAGUAAUAGUAACAAUAUUACUAUCCUGGCAAAUAACAAUGGGCUACCAGAACGUUUCCCAUUGGAUGAGAGAACAUGGGAAAACAGAGCAGCUACUGCAUGCAUGUGAAUUGGGUGAUGACAUUCGUACCAUACUAGGCCGUUUAAUGCUCUUGAGAAAGUUUUACUCGUUCAUAUAUGCAUGCAUAAACCUGGUACAGAUGGGCAAUAAUCCUCGUAUCAAACAGACAAUAGAGCCGGUACAGUAUACAUUUGAUUGUGCAUUCCAACGUUCUCGAACCGUGAUGGCGAGCGAAUGCAAAUACUACUAAACAGUCUGUCCAUCUAGAGAUUGCAUGUUCGAUUUUGUCCACUUCCUUGAUAGAAACCUUGCCUAGGUUUUGAAGAUACUACUGGUGUACUACGGUUUCUGGGGACGAUUUAUGUGCUCAGGAAAACGUCUAGUACGAUUACGGGUUGUCUGGACAAAAUCCGGUCCCCGCUUGAGAUAUGCCAUUUGAUGGCAAAGACAUGAUGCAUGGCCUUUUGCUCUUUUUACGGAAUGAAAAUAUAUUAAAUCGUGCAAGAACAGAGCGACGUCUUGGAUGUUGGAAGCGAAAAAGUAACAUAAAACAAAAAUGAAAAUUUUUAAUAAGGCUCCCAAUUUGUAGAUUACUUUCUUCUUUUUUUUUUCUUUCGGGAUGUUGUUUGUUGAGGAGGGGGGGUGGCGGGAAGGGAAUGGCAUUUCAGCCGCAGGAAUUGUUUUCUAGUCUGGGAAUGAUUUUGCCUAGCGGACAACGCCUAAAUUGCGGCAGGGAUGGUUUGUAGUUGGGAGUUACGGGAAGCGGAGCCACCCAACUUUCCAAUGGUCUGGUUUCUAAAGCUCUGGUCUCCGGUGAAAGGGUUUCCUGUGCGCCAUCCCGAAACGUUGUACACCUGUCUAAUUCCCGAUGGAAGCCGUAGCACUUCAACAGUGCUCAUCUUUCGAUGCGUUGGAAAUGGGGAAAAAAUGGGCAGGAACUAAAACUAAAAGGCGUCUCCCCAAUAUAAUCUCUCAUGAAAUCGGAAUUGUCAAUGGAUCUGUUUGAUUACGAGUUUUAAAACCCAAGAAAAACAAAUUUUUUUAAUAAGUACUGUACCCUAGAAAAAAAGAAAAGAAAAGAUACAGACAAACCUCCAUCCCAAAUAUAAUUACAACGAGUGUGAAUACACGUGCUACGUACGGUAUUGAUAUUAUUAAAAAAAUAAAAAUAAAAGGGUGAAUUAAAAAAAUUAAAAAAUUGUAUCAAUGCAAUUAAAAUAUAGUGUCUGUCUAACAAUAAUUUGAAAUAUGAUAAAAUGUGUAUAUUAUUCAAAAAUUAUAUUUUUUCAUAUGAUAGAUCCUGAAAAAAUAAUAAAAAUUUAUAUUAAAAAAUGAAUGAUAUAUGAAUAAAAAUAAAUGUAAUUAAAUGUUGUUAAAAUGAAAUACUUACAAAUAUUAUGCAUUUGAUUUGAUAAUCUUGCAUGAAGGUGCGAACACUCUUCACAGCAAUCAACUUUUAGUACGAAAAUCAAAAUUGAUGAUUUAAUUAAUUCUGUUAAAUUUGUGGAAUGUAUAGUACAAAUGAAAAUGCACGAUCUUCGCAUGAAUUGAUUCGUUGGUUGAACAACCUAUCACCGUUGUUCUGAAAAUCAAAUACGUACGAAAUUCAAAAUUAGUGUAUUUUUUUACAUAAUUUAUGAAUAGCAUUAUAAAAAAUAAAUAUAUAUCAAGAAAUUCUACUUUCCUUUGUAAUUUUUUGAGAUAAAAAGCAUCACAACCAAAUAUGAAUCGUUCAUGUCUGCCCUGUAGAUUAAGAUGCAUGUUAUCACUGGAAUUUUUAAUUUGUAUGUUAACAUUAUACCUGUUUGACAAAUAAAAUAUUAUAUAUAAUAAAAAAAUUUGUUGAAAUUAAAGGUACAUGAAAUUAAUUACCUAACAACAGUGUCGACCACGUCGUUACAAUGCAUACACACUGUUUUUGAAAAAUAGUCUUCAUAUAGUUGUCCACAAUUUUUGCAUAGCUCAUAUAAUAUGUUUUCUAUGUUAAUGUUCUAAAUGUAAGUAAGUAUUCAAAAUAUUUAAUCUAGUAAGAAUGAAAGAAGAUAUAUGUUAUGAUUAUAAAUUUAAAAAAUUUGUGCAGUAAUUAAAUUAAAUAGAGUAAGCUUACUGUAUACAUGAUUGUAUAUUCGAAUAUUCAUAUUCUCUUUGAAUUUCUAUCAACAAUGCUUGUGAUGUUGUAAAAUUGCUUGACCUCAACCACGUAACUAACUUUCGAGAUGUAUUUUCAAAAUCCACAAUUUUUUGAAAUAAUGUUGAUAAGAGUAUGAAAUAACAUUAAAAAUUUGAUGUAGUGUUACUGAUGGAACUCACCAACUGCGCAGAUUUCGAGCAAAAUCUAAAUUAUGAUUGAUAUACAAUUUGCUAGAUCCAAUUGUACAAAAUGAUGGUCCUCUGUAGUAUGGUUAUAUUCGCUAAAACCUAUUCAAAUUAUAUAGAGUAUAAGAAAAAAAACAUUUGAUUUACCUCUGAAAUUUCGUACGCAAAUACCACAUGCUAGCAAAAUAUUUUUAUAACAGAUUGAUAUUAUAGGAUUUGUAGUAUAUUUAAUAACUUUAUACUCAAAUCACUGAUGAGGCAAAGUUUGCUUAAAUAAACUUUACAGUGUCCUAAUUUCUUGCAAAAAAAAAAUGCUAAAUAGUCCUAAUUGUCAUCACAAGUUACGGCAACGUGCCAGUGGCAUCUAGGCCUAAUUUUUUUUUUGGUCAAAAUCUAAUCCUAAUUGGUUCUGCUGUUUCUUGAUCAUAUUGUAUACUUCUGAAUUAAAAUUGUAUUAAAAUAGUAUAUGAAUAAGCAUUUUAUUUAAUUAAGGAGUAAAAAAGAUUUAAAAUAUAAAUAAUACUAUAAACCGUUUAUAAAGUAGAUUAUAGGAAAGUUUUAAAUUUUAAAUUUGACUGGUGAUAGGGUUGGUUAUAACCCACUACUAUUUAUGUAUUAAAAUAAAUACAAAAAAUCUAGACAAAAAUCUAUGACCUACUACUUGUUCUGUUAUUGGGAUUUUUUUUAGAAUUAAAUAUAGUAAAUCCCUUAAUUUUACAUUGCACUUUACCUCCUCAACUUUACAUUUAGUUGCAUAUUUGUGACUUUUUUUGAAACGUGAUUGUAAUUUGCAAAGCUCAUUUGUAGGGGUAGUUAUAGAGUUAGUGUGGUGACAAAUAUUUGUUAAUUAUAAAAAUGUAAUAUUAUUAAAAUAAAUAGUAUACGAAUUAGCAUUUGUCUUUGAUUAAGAAGUAAAAAGAAUUUAAAGUAUAAAUAAUAAAUUAGAAACGGUUUAUGAAGUAGAUAGUGGGAAUAUUUUAAAUUUUAAAUUUGAUUAGUGAUAGGGUUGGUUAUAACCCACUACUUUUUAUGUAUUAAAAUAAAUACAAAAAUUUAGAAAAAAAAAUGAGAAGUUUCGAAACCAUUGAGAGAAUCUCUGCUAAAAACUCUUUCUGCAAUACAUAUAGAUAUAGAUGCUAAACUUUUUGUGUUAGGAUUAAGGAUAAAUGACGUAAAAAAUGUAAAUACUCGCUGAUUAAGUGAUUCUUCUCUAAAUAUUUUCUUAUUUUACUUGAGCAGUGGUCUUUCCUCAGUGUGUGUGUGUGUUGUUUUUGUUUUUUCUCUUUGUUCCUUGGCUUUGUGAUAGGUGACAGUUGACACCUUUUUCUUUGGACUGCAACUCUGCAAGUGGAUGGAACUUACAUGAGACCCACAGGCCUACAUGGAAUUCUGUAACAGGCCUUAGUGUAUUAAAUAGACUGACUUAACUAAGGAGUCCUAUUCUUGGGGUCCUUAAGAAGCUAAACUCACAGCUUAAUAGAAUUCAAAACACAAUUGCUUCAGCCUAUCCCAAGAAUAAACCCAUAAAGCUGCAGCUAUUUAUUUUGGAUCCAUAUAGAGCCACCAUCUUUGCGUUUUUGGGCCGAAAAAUGGCUCUUACAAUCUUCCUUCUUUUUUUUUUUUUGAUAAAAUGGCUCUUACAAUUUUAGGAUAUUUUUGAUAAAAUUAAAAUUUAAAAUAUGAAAUUUGAAUCUAUUAAAUUAUUGAAUUGUUAUAUAAUAAAUUGGAUACAUUUCAGUGUAUAUCACAUUUAGUGAUAAGUGAACAGUUUAUCACUUAAUUUUUGAAGUAAGUUUUGUCUAGAAAAUUCAGUGCCACUUAAUUAAUUCAGAUGCUAUAUUUUUUGUUAUCAAACACGUCUAAAUAUAUUAAGAUCUGAAUUUAUUAAGUUUAAGUGGCGCAUUGAAUUAUCAGACGGGACUUUAAUAUUGUUCACCCUAUGAUUUUUGUGACAACUAUAACCUCAACUUUAUAAUAUUUUUCGAUAGUGUUGCAAAUGAAACUACACAUGACAUGGUAAAAAAAAUAGAGAAUGAAAUAUAUAUUGAUAUAGAAUGUUAAAUGAAGGACGGAAAGACAUUUUGUGCGUUGAUUUUGUCAGUUGCGGCGACCCUUACCCUUAUUUCAGAAGCAAAUCCCACGGAACACUAAAUUUCUGAUGUUUUUGUAUAUCAACAAUAUAUAUGAAGAAAUUCGGAUGCAGGGACAUUUUUGUGCCUUUCAUUGGCAAAAAUGGAACAGAAGUGGAAAUGAUGCGGGAGAAAGCUUUUCUGAAAGAACCAGUUCAUCAUUUUUAAUGUGGUUGGACCUUGAAAGUGCCGCUAGAAAACUUCUCAAACUCCGGUUGGAUUGUGGUAUAACUGUCUUUCCCAGACUAAACGUUUCGUGGGCAACCAACAGCUUGGCCCUUUAGCCGAAGGAUACUAUAGCAAGUACAAAUUUCAUUUAUAUUACACAGAAGCAUAACCAGUCUGUACACUUCCAGAUUUCACCCAUUAACGCUACAACACGAAUGUGUGGUCCCUUGGGGUUAUCCACACAAUACGCCCAAGAACCAGAGAAUCAUGAAAAAAGAGAAAGGAAACAAAUAGCAAAGAUCUUUCACACGCAAUUAAUCUAGUUAUGUGGAUCACCUCAACCCACCAUGCCCGACUACUUUUACAUGCCCUGGAUUUUCCUGUGCAAAUAAUAUAGUGAGCGCCAUAUUUUUGUUUAUAGAUAUUCACUUGACGGCACGGCGGGGAGUCAGAUGACAGCCAGGUGAUUGAACAGCGGCGGAGAGCAUUCUUUUGGUGGCAGAGGAAGAAGGCGAUGACGCGGAGGCGGGGAAGGCACAGUCUGGUCUGAAAAGCUGAAUAUCAGGCAUUUGGAAGCGGCCCGAAUCACCUGGCAAUCUCAUGUAGGAAGCAGAAGGCGAUUCAUUCGUCAUGAUCCCAUCAUCCCUUGUUGGCCAUUCUUGUACUGCAUUAUAGCUCUGUAUACUAGUGGAAUUAAGCCUCCAUAUCGUAAUUAAUGUCGUCUAAGUUGAGAGGCGGGUAGGUAGGGUGUGGAGAGAUUUCAGAUUUCUUGGUGUUAUGUUGAUUUGCAAAUUACAAUGGGAAAGGAUUAAGGGAAUGGAAUGGUUGAUUGAAAUUUAAAUGAGAGACUUGGGUGUGAUGACGUGGCGUAAUGGGUCGGAGCCUUAGCUGUUUAGUUUUAGUCUAAGCCAAGCUGACAGAUGGCAAUUUUCAUGAGUGGGAUAAGGAUCGUCACGAAUUGAAUCAUCCAGGCUUACAAGGCAAACCUGCACGAAAACCACACUUGAAAGCUCCAUUCAAACUACAUUCCAUUACAUCUCACCAAAUCCCAAAACAAAUAUUAUUAUCUAGUAAUACGCUGCCGUAUUAUCUUCGGAUUUUUAAUCAUUUUCAUAUGGUCGACUUUGUGCUCAAUGCUGAUUCUACAUGUGAUGUGUGUGGUGAUCCAUCAUUAAAAUAAUCCCCACAGCCUUUCUUCUUUCGUAAGCCACUUUUCCACUCGUACUAUUUUAAACAUCUUUAUUUCUGCUACACCUAUGCUACGAAAUUCAUGGAAGCUUGGCUGUGUUUGGAUUGUAUUUUCUAGGAUUUUUUUUGUAGAAAAAUUACUAUAGCGAUUUAAUGUACGUGAGAAAAAAAGAUAACAGGGAAAUGUGAUCACGAAAAACGAUGCAAUUUUUCGGCGAAAAAUGACUAUCCAAACAAGGCCCAUUUGAAUGGUGAAAGCAUGAAGCACGAGGUCUACAUUAUUGCCAUGUACCAUGUGUUUUUUUUUUUUUUUUAUCGUUAGCAAUUUCUUCAAUUUUCUAGUAGGAAACAGAAAAAAAAAAGAAAGAAAGAAAUUAUUUUUGUGAGGAGAUGAAAAGGAUAUGAAGAACAAGAUAUUGUAAAGAUGACGUACAUUGAACAAGUAUUAUUGCACGUACAUACGCCUUUCUCUGACGAAGAUCAUUAUUGAACAAGUGUAAUAGCUUUGGGGUGCGAUAUCUAUAGCAAGUGCUGUGCUGUGGACAGCUUAACUGCAUGCUGCUCCCAAAAUAAAAUUAGAAACUAUGGAGGAGUUGCUUAUAGCUAUAUUUUUGGAUCGGAAUCUCAUUUACAGUCUCCCAAGUUAUAUUUUCCUUCGCAAAUAAGAAACCUUCAAGAAAGUUAGUGGCUACCUAAUGACUCGUUCAUCCAGGAUGAUCAAUAUCUGCCGCUCCACUCUUCUUCAUUAGCCCUCAUCAGUUGGUAUUCCUUGUUUAAAUACUCGAUAUUGUUGUCCAUUUUGUUUGACAAUUUUCUUAAAUCCUUUACCUUUUGCUCUUAAACAGUGGGACGAGCAAUUUUCCCUCAUCAGUUGGUAUGCACCUGUUCAGAAUAUACAGAACAAAGGUACUCGUCAAAAAAAAAAAUUUUUUUUUUUGAUAUCUUUUAUUGUACCUUUCUUCUCUUCUUAGAAGAAUGAAGUUGCGCCUACAAAUUCUAAGUACUCCUCUUUUACUUUCUGGUAUUGUUAUGCAUGUAUUCUCGCAUCUCUUUAAUUUGUCAAUUCAAGCUUCUACAACAAGUGUCCAGAUACCUUUGUGUCAACUGGGGAGAUUUAUCAGCUGGACGUCAGAAAAUUCUAACUGCUCUGAAUAUAGUUACCUUUGUUUAUCAACUUGAAUGAUCUCGUGAAAGUCAAACUACUUAUCUUUUGGCCGACAGUCGGCAUAAAGAGUUUAAGUUGACCCCGUAAACAACAUGACUAAUCUCAAUAGAAAUUUGGAAUACAAGAAAGAGUUUGCAAAGUAUACACGCAUCUUAGGAUGGCUUUGAUAAAAUUGAAGUGUGAAAUCUAAAAUUUGAAGUCUAAAUCUAAUACAUUUGAGUGCAUACGACAUUCAGUAAUAAGUAAAUUGUUUAUCACUUAAUUUUGAGAGCAAAUUUUGCCUAGAAAAAUCGAUGCUACUUAAUUAAUUCAUAUAUUCAAUUUUUUUAUCAAACGGUUUGAAUAUGUUGAGAUCUGAAUCCAUUAAAUUUAAGUGCUAAAUUGAGUUAUCAAACAGGAUUUUAAUCUUAACAUCUAUACUAUAUAUAAAGCCCGAGCAAAGGGUUUGGAGUUAAUAUUUAUCGUCACUUUAUAAACUUCCUUUUUGUUAUUAUAAAAACUACUUUAACUUUAACUACCCAUCACUUUUUUUACUUUUAACUAUUUAAUUAUACGUUUUCAACAUAAUUAUUCCUAUACAUUAUAAGUACCAAUAUAAAAUUUUUAUGAAAAAUAUUUGAAAGAUUAAAGUUUGCUUUAGAAAUAAAAAUUUUAUUUGAAAUAUAUGACCAUAAAUAUUAUAUAAUUUGAUUGCACACACAUUGGGUGUGCAUUGAGCACUGGUAGUAGUUAUCUGUCAAGGUUAAAAAUUUUAUUAUACCCUGUUGGCCUGACGUUCAAAUCUUGGUUUUGCUUGCUUAAUCAGACAACCCAUUCCUCAAGUUGUGUGUUUAGGCGGCGGAGAGUGAUUACUUCCGUAUAUAAAUUGCCAAGUUUACCCACAGAGUAGUUUAUCCAGACUGUCAUUUUCGGCUUGUUUUAGACCGAAACCGAAGUCUGCUAAUUUGCGAAUCGUAAGAAAGAGCAAAACUGCGGGAGCCAUUUGCGUUGUGCGUUAGGUGAAGAAGUUGAUAGAGCUUAUGUCACGCUCUACCCUUCAAAGUCCAACUUCUCCAUAUUUACUCCUUUGAAAUUUACAACCACAAGACAAUAGCAUUAAUAUGUGAACAAAACCAUCUUUAGCAAUAAAGAAGAUGAAAAACGAAGUGAACAAAAUUCAUCGUUUACAUUUCAUAGUAAGUUGAUUCGUGCAACCAUUCUCAAUUAUAAGUUAGAUCAGCCAUUCCCAAAAAAAUUACUCAAAACAGUGCAAGUUGAUAAAGAUAGUACUGAAUACUGAUACUCCGAAAAAUCAAUUGAAACGCAACAGAAAUUGCGAACUCCAAGCAGCCAGUUACAGAAGAUGGUUCCGGCAGCCCUAAUUAAAGCUUAAGAAGGAAAAAACGAGCGGCGUUGGUGUUGUAUUAGGUGACGAAGUUGAUAGAGCUUUCGUCACCCUCUCGCUGUCCGACAGUAUAACGCUUCCUCCUUCGGAAUUUAGUAGACAAAAACAUAGAAUUAUGUGAAGAAAACCCAUCAACUUGCUUCGUUCUCUUGACCAUCUAGACAACUGGUCUUUUUCUUGAAACCUAUUUGCCGAGUUUAAUUCAAACACAUUACUUUCAUCUUGUGUAAGAUUAUUGAAUUUUGGAAUUACCUUCUUAAAGGCUAUCCAGAAUGGAUAGCAUCAAUAUCAUACAAACACAUAGUCAGGAAUGUUAGUCACUGCCGUUUCAAGAAUCUUAAAGACUACUAUGUGUUCACACUAGUAGCGAAUAAGACUCCCGCUUCCUAAACUGGCAGAGAAACUUUGAUCAGAGUGUGCAUCAAAUUCGAAUUCGGUUCGGAAGUUUGAAUUCGGAAUUUUUUGAAAUUUUGGUAUAGGAAUUACUGACCGAUUUUAAUUUCAAAUUUACCAGUUCCGAUUUCGAUUUCGAUUCCGAAUUCGGUGAAUUCGGAAACCUCCUUUUCCUUUUUUUUUCUUUUUUGUUAGAUGUAUUGUUAUAUAAUAUAAAUUUUAUAUUACAUAUAUUAUAAAAAAUAAUAUUAUAUACAUAAAUAUAUAUUAAUAUACAUAUUAUAAAACAAAAUUGAAAUAAAAAAUAUUAUUAUAUAUAUAAAUAAAUAAAUAUUAAUAUAUAUAUUAUAAAACGAAAAUUGAAAUCGGAAAUUCCGAUUUCAAAAACUCCAUUACCAAAUUCACAUAAUUCGAAAUCGAAAAUUUCGAUUUCAGUGCCGAAUUCCGAAUUACCAAUUUUUCGAUUUUGCACACCCCUAACUUUGAGCGUGGUUGGAUAGAGUAUUAUUUAAAAUAAUGACUGUAACAUUUAAUUUGAUUGUAUGAUGUGACAUACUUAGGAUAUAAAGGUAGUUAGAAAUUUAAAACAGUAGAUGAAAAACAUGGUUAUUUUUUAAGCAAAUUAGUAUAUUUGAAAAGAUUUUUGUAUUACGCAAUAGGAUUUCAAUGUAACUAAUCUCUUUUUUCUUUAUUAAAGCUACUUAAUAUUUUCUUUUACGUUGUUUUUUUUCCUUAGAGGGUCCAGAGUAAUAAUGCAGACUUUCAGAGUUAUCAUGGAUAUCGAAUCGGGUUUGUUUGGAUAGAGUAUUAUUUGAAAUAUUAUUUGGAAUAAUUACUGUAGCACUUUUUGUGAUGUGAUGUAUGUGAAAUAAAAAGUUGGUUGGAAAUAUAAAAAGGUGGAUUGAAAAAUGUGUUUAUGAUACAAGCGAAAUAUUAUUUGGGAUAAUUUCACUAUCCAGAUUGUUUUGUGAAUAUUAUUUGGGAUAAAAAGGUGGGUUGGGAAUAUUAUUUUGUGAGUGUUUUUUGGCUUCUCAAUUGCUACCAAAAAUGCCAUAUCAGUUACACUUCUUCUAAAUGGCUUGUCAAGCGCAAUGUUCAAAUGACAGAAAAAGUAACGUAAACUUGUUAACAUAUAUAAGAAAGAAUUAAUUUAAGAACAAAAAAUUAAUGAAAUAAAAGAAAAUUUUCCAAAAGUGUUCUGUUAGAAAUAAAUUUUCCACAGACGUCAUGCGACCCAAGUUCAGAAAAUAGGAACGGAAAGUGUUUAGGAAGAAUUGUGUAGUAUUUCAUCUAAGCAGACUUCACGGCAUUCAAAAUAUGAAAGGUGUUUGCUAUGACAGGACGGCCCGGGCUUUAUACACGGGGAGCCUUGGGCCUACGCUAGGAGCCCAAACCAUGACCGUCUCCAGCACUGACCACACGACACAAUCAAGUACACUUUCGACUUGAGAAAGCCUGGUUUUCAACGCUCCCACUUCUAAAUAAGUAUUUGUCUCGAACCCUUCUAGUGUGUAAUUAUAUAGACUAUUAUCGAGAAUUGCCUGUCAUGUGUACAAGACAAACUUUUUUAUGCGUGAUUCUAGCCCAGAUCAACCUGCAAACUUACUCAGAAGCACAAGUGAAACCAAUUGAUGUUGCCUUCGUGAUUCUUCCAACACAUUUGCGUGCAAGUAGAUUUCAGUGGGGGAUCAAUUGUAAGAUAUGGAAAUUUGGCACUUGAACGGCAUCAUGUACGCAUGCUCUUUGAUCUGUUGUUUCUGUUGGGGAAAUGUAUAGCUUAUAACUGAGAAAUGCACGCACGAACAUGGUAACAUGUACUAGUAAAUUUCCCUUGGCGUACACUUUUCCAUGUGCAGGAUCUACUUUUCCUUUCUCUACUUGGUCCCUGAAGAUGUGGCUUUGCUGCAAAGGGGUACUUCGGGCUUCUUUUGGUACCCGCCAGACAUGGCUGAUGGGACCAGACCAGCAAUUUCAUGGUUCUCCGAGAUUAGAAUUAAAGGGGAGGCUCAGGUAACCAUCAGCAAGCGAACAAUUCAAUUUUGUCUCUGUGCAUCAUUCCAAAACUUAAUUGCGAGUCUAAGAGAAUUCAUAUUGAUUCUGACUAGCAAAGCAAUUCAAUUUACCCGCAUUGCCAUUUGCCACCUUUAACACUUCAGGAACGGGACUCGACGUAUAUAAUCCUGGUGACAACUCAAGGUGAUCAAUUUUUCAUGCUUCAGGAACGGGACUCGGCCAAAGGAACAUGUAAUGUAUCUUCUUAGAAACUGAAACGAGUCUAUUUGCAAAAUACGUUAUGAUGUGUGAUUAGAAACUUGCAUCUAUUUCCUUGUCACGAUCCGUGCUUGGGAUAAGAAGAGCAAAAGGGGCUCGAGAAAGGUCAGAAAUGCGAUCCCAAUUAUUUUCACCAGGGGAAAGCACUAGAGAGUCAGGAGUGGGAAGGAAACUAUAGGUACCAUUGGAUCCGAAACUAAAGUCUGUCCUUGGAAGGCAGAUGCAGAUGCAGAUGGAGAGAUAAUUAUGUUCCUUCCCUUUUGGUCGCUGCCUUCCAAUACACUCCACAUCGCUGCAUACAUUAAAGCAGAAUCCAACAGAUCACACACAUGUCACAACCUUCUGAAAUCCCAAAGGCUUCAUUGAUUUGAUUGCUAUUUACUGCUUGAAGGUACAUGUGCAUGGUCCCCUCGGUGACGACUGUAGCAUAAACUCCCUUGCGCUUUUUCAGUUUUUGUCGGUGGUACCGUCUCCUCUUUGUACGUAUUCACCACCUCCUGCCUCCUCUUUAUCUCCACAAUUUCGAUUUAGCUGUCUAAUAUCAGUGCAAGCGGUUCUAUCAUCCCUAAUGGCGGCAUAACUCCUAGACAGCUACUUUCUUUUGAAUGUUUGAUUUGCUGUUAUUGGAAGCUUAGGUUAUUACUGACUUCAGAUUGGGUCUCGUGCUACUUGGCUACAUGUACAGCAAAAUAGCAGCUCGCAGCAUAUGUCAAUGGCUUCUUACUUUCGCCUUUCAUGGUUUUCUUCCAAUUCGAUCGGAAUGGCCAUUUCAAGCAAUUUUUGCUCAUUGAACAUUUAUGGGUUUUUAAUGGAUUUUCAUGAAAGCUUGAUUUUGUUUACUCGAUAUCUUUUUCAAUUUCACAUACCUCCUCUGAUGGGUUAUUACAACAGCAGAAAGCUCACCGGAGUUUUGAGAGCUCUAUACUCAUAGAGUAGUAGUUUCAUAUACACGAACAAAGUGUAUAUACUAUCGCCGUUUGAUUUAUAAUAUACAUGUAAAAUUGUUAGUACAAGCAAAAUGUAACUUUAAAUACCCAAAAGCACCCUUUAAUAAUUUACCUUAAAAAGAUAAUAAGAAUAGAACUUUACCGUCUUCUUCCUUCCAUCCACCCCUGCAUCAUACUCAAUCACCGUCCCCAGUUUCUUCAUGUCUUUUCAGAAGCCUCAAAAUCCCCCGACUUGCUAGUAGCCCUGCACUCCCUUUCCCAUGUACUAAUAAUAAUCCUCUGGCAGGAAAUAAUAGCCAUCAUUUUGUUCCAAAUUCAACAACUGCUUCCCUUGCCAUAGCAUCUUUCGCACCCCUACCAAUCCUUUUUUCCCAUUAAUUUACUUGUGGUUUCUAAGCAUUUUUAUACCCCUACCAAGCUUGUUAUUUUUUCCUAUAAUUUUUUAUCCAAGUUAAGAACAGAAAAUUAGUAAAAAUUUAGAAGGGAAGCAAAAAAAAUUGGAGAUCAAACAUUCAAAAUGGUAUUAAUAGUCUAGGGUUCAAAAAGAAAAACUAGAAUCAGCUUCAUUUAAGCAAAGUAGCUAGAAGGCUAGAACAGGCGCUGAAACUUUUGUUUGCUCGUUUGAGGAAUAGAUCUGUCGAUCCUUCUGUUGGCCUCUUCAUAAAUGCAGGCUUUCAUAGGACAAUAGUAGUGUUUAAUUUUUAGUGGUGUCCACUAAACUAGUGACACGUACAUGUACCAGCAGGACUAGUCGCUGACUGUGUCACGUGUCCAUAUGUAAAAGUGACCAUCAGCUGUGAGUGUCGGACCAACAUCCGCUGAGUUGAUCUUACGUCAUCCUGUCGGCUCUGGAAGUCUCCGGUCAGUUCUGACUAGCUUACGUGUUUCAGCUUUCCAAAGUAAUUCUGCCCUCCCGUUGAAUCCAUUCGCACCGGCCACCGCCCACAGAAUGGAUGAACCAUGGUCACUAAUUUGUUUUUUGAUCACCCUAUCUUUUAAUAUCUAUUGUAUGUACGUACGUACGUACACACAUGCAUAUAUGUAUAUGUAUAUUUUAUUUCUAUAGAUAGAUUAAUAGUAAAAAUGUAAAACGCGAAGCUUCGUCGAAAUUGUUGCUUAGGGACCAUGGUACGAGAGAAGGAGAUUUCAAACAAAAUCACACGAGUAUAAUACUAGUAAUAUUAUGAGAAAUACUAGUAUAAUACUAGUACUAUAUCAAAAUUUGCAAGUCUACGCUGCCAGCAAGCAAAUUGGUAACUGUUCCAAGUGAUUGGUUUCGGGUUUGUGUCACAAAAUAUUAAGAAUCAUAUCUAGAGAGUGACGACGCCACAGGAGUGCGUAUAAAAGGAGCAUUAAUCAAUUAGAACAUGAUUUGCCUUUAAGAACUUUCCUGUCGUCAAAACUCUAAGGGGUGCGGUCCUGGUACAUUGAACCCACAUCUAUAGUGUCACCUUCAUUCUAAUAUUUAAUUAGAAACAACUUAAUUUAUUAUCUAGGCACGUAAUGUCUAAUAACUAGUUGACCUUUGCCAAAUGUUGCUUUCCGUUAGCUUUCGGGGAAGAAACCGAUCCUUAGUCACACGAGGCAGAAUCGAUUUGGGUUUCACGUCAUUUGUUCCUAUCAUCGUUGCACAAGUACUUGGAUUUUAAAGUCAAUUAUGCAGUUGGGGGCCUUUGGGCUCAGUAUCAACCGGAUGACAGCCAGUUUUUAGUGGCUAAAUAAUAUGCAAGAGUACAUUAAUUUUUAAUUUUUUUUGGGGGGGGGGGUCUCUCUCUCCAUCAAAGGCAAGGGUGAAGCCCCGCCCCCCUCCCCCCUCCAACCCCUAAAAACAAAAAAAGGACUUCUUGGAAAGAUGAAGUCAUGAAUUUGGUAAAAAUAAUAAUAUUUAGAUAAGCACUCGCUCUCUCCCUCUCUCUCUCUCGCACAAAAACUCAUUGUUUCAGAGCACCAAAUGUUAAUGAAAGUUAUCAAUCUUCUUUUUUCUUUACCUGCUUAGGCUUUUAUAUUAUUUAAAUUAAUACACGAGUCAACUACCUGUUAACCCAUUGCCAUUAAUGUGAUUAUGCAUCAAUGCAAAUGGGGACCUUCUUUGUCUACUUUUUUUUUGAAGAGGGGCACCUUCUUUUGCCUACUUUUUUGUAAAAAAAUUGGGAGUUGGGGGGGGGGGGGCGGGGAAGUAAAUAAAUGUUUUCUGUCUAAUUGCUUAACCGAUGGUAGCCACGGCAUCAUCGGACUACACAACGAUAAGUGAAAUAGUAAAUCAAUACAAAGCGUAUAGCUAACGACCAUCUAUUUACCCCUUCUUCUCGUAACUUCGUAAGCACUACAUGCACAAACAUUAACGUUUUACGCUACAGACCAAAGAAUUUUUUUUUUGGGGGUUCAAAAGGCUAAAGAGAUUUAUGCACGUAAUAAUUGACUUUUUCAAAGCAUUUAUAGAACGUCCACAUCAAGUUAUUAUUAUUUUUUUGUGUGGCCGGUUCCGACAUCAAGUUUUUAAUUUUUCAAAAGCACUUAUAGAACGUCUACCUGAUUUUGCUAGCGCAAGUCAAUCAGAAAACGUAAUCUUGCGACUUGCUGCUGCAUAUUGAAGUUCCUAUUUCAUUUAGAAAUAGGGAUAAUUUCAGAAACCUCGCCCAAAAUUUCUAAUAAUUUCAUCUAAUACUCUUGAGGUUUUUAAUAUUAUACUAACUUGAGGUUUUUGACAAAUUUACCUGUUACCCUUGAGGUACUAAUUUGAGAUGUGAGAAUGAGAAAGAUUUAAAAUAGUAGAUAUUAGGGUUAAAAGUGAAUUUAAGAUUUUUGUGCAAGUUUCAUGUGUUUUUAAAAUGUUAUAAGAAAGUAAAAUAAACUUCACAAUUUCAUUAGAACUUUUUGGAUUAUUCAUUCAAAAUUAUGAUCAUUAUUUUUUUUUUACCAAAAUGAUAAAUUUAAGGGAGGUGUAUAUAAUUUUGAAACAUCAAUAGAAGUAGGUGAAAUUGUCAUAAAACCUCGAGGGAGGUUUCAUAAAUUAUCCCUUAGAAAUACAACGCAUGCUUGUUCUUGGAAGGACGUUUUUAUACUCCCUUCGUCAUAGUUUUAACUUUUAAGCGGUGCUAGACUCAAGAUCAAACUACAUUUCGAAUUCAUAUAGUGGAGAAUUCUAUAUAUUUAAAAAAAAUCCAAUCGAGAUCUAACUGAAAUGAUUUAAUGCCCUCAGGGAAAAACUUUUUUAAUGGAGGCGGCUAACCCUUAGCCUCUCGUGUUCUAUUUGUACACUUGAAUGGAUUAACGCAUGUACAAACUAUAUGAUAUUUUAUUGUUUGGUAAUUGGAAUCCUUAACUGCUCUCUGGAGAACAAUUAAAAAUAGGGAAAAUGGUCAAUUUCGUUCCUAAACUUUUUUUUCGUGUCAAUUUAGUCCAUGUAUAUUUUUUUAGCCAAUUUGAUCCUUAUAUACUUAUUUAACGGUUCCAAUUGAGGAACUCCGCGGUGGCGCCACCGUAUAAAUUCAAUCAAAUCACUAAUUGAACAAUUAAGCAAGGGUAUUUUGGGUAGUUCAUUGUUGGAACAGUAACAAAAAGAAGUAAAAUCCGGCAAAAGGACCCAAUUAGCUUUUAUAAUUGCAAUAAUCCGGCAAAAGACCCAAUUCUAUUCUAAACUUAGAAUUGGGUGCUGAGAUUUAUGUCGGCAAGAUUCCAAUCGAGUUUUGAGAAUAUUGAGUUUUUAUUGAAGAAGCUCCACUGGAUUUCGGUUUCCUCUGCUAUUCGGCUACUGAUUAUCACCACUCGAAAAUCCCUUUCCACUACAAACCAGUAGAGCUUUUCCCUUCUUUUCCCAACUGUUUCGAUACGUUUGAGGACCAACAGAGUUGAGUGUUUUGGGGACCGAUUUUUAUCAUUUUUUUUGUUCUUCAGAGCGCUUUAUACCUGAUAUACACCCCUUUUUCUUUUAUUUUUUGGAAGAAUUUAAAUUAUCUUGGGUAGCUGAUUUUUGUUUAAUUAUGUUGCGGGGAUACAAGCACAUUCUUGAGGAUUUUCUGGGUAUUGAAGGAGGUGCCGAUGGGGUGCUGGAAUUGGAGGAGGUGCAGGUAGUGGUGGUGCUGCUGGAGGCGGCGUUGGAGGUGCUGAUGGAGGAGCUGGAGUUGGAGGAGGUGCAGGUGGUGGUGGUGCCGCUAGAGGUGGCGCUGGAGGAGGUGUAGGUGGUGGGCGGGCUGGAGCUAGUGUUGGAGGAGCAGGUGGUGGUAGUGGAGUUGGAGGCAGUGCAGGUGGUGGUGCUGGUGCUAGAGGUGGCAUUGGAGGAGGUGCAGGGGGUGGAGCUGGUGGAGGAGUAGGUUGGGGCUGGUAGAGAUUGGUAGUGGAGUUGGGGGUGGAGCAGGCGGGGAAGUAGGAGGGGUCAUUGGAGGCAUUAGUGGGGUGCCGGAGGUGGAGCAGGUGGAGGUGCAGGAGGAGGAGCCGAGGAGGCGUUGGCAGAGGUGCUGGAGGUGGGGCCGGUGGCGGAAAAAAGGGUGGAGCAGAUGGUGGCUUUGGGAAAGGUGGAGGUAUAGGAGGUGGUGGUUUGGGGCUGGAGGAGUUUUGGUGGAGGGCAUGGGGAUUUGGUAAGGGUGGAGGAGUUGGCGCGGCGGUGGAUUCUGAGGCCGGACUAAUCCUAGAAUUGGACGUCGCAAAUUGUGAUCUCACUGACGCAGUUGAAAAAAAACAAAGCAAAACUGGGCAAUUUUUAAGCAAUGGGAGAGGAGUUCGGACAGCCUUUGGAGACUUUGUUAGUCAAGAAUCCAAGGUUUAGAAUUGGAUCCUUCAAGGAUUUUACUUCUUUUGUUAUUGUCCCAGUGAACUACCCAAAAUACCCUUACUUAAUUGUUCAAUUAUGUGAUUGAUUUAUUGAAUUUAUACGGUGACGCCGCCGUGGAGUUCCUCAAUUGGAACCGUUAAAUAAGUAUAAGGAUCAAAUUGACCAAAAAAAAAAUACAUGGACUAAAUUGACACAAAAAAAGUUUAGGGACGAAAUUGGCCAUUUUCCCUUAAAAAUAUUCAAGUCAAAGUACCAAAUGAUCCACAGACGAUGAAGAACAAACCUUCAAACUGCUCAUCAUUUGUGCAAGCGUGCCGAUGUAUUUACACGGGAAGAGGACAGAAGAAAAAUACUGCAACAUUAAUUGUUACAGGUUUGUUGAGUCGGACUGACUUAAUCCCUGUCAUUGAAUUAAAAUUUGUCUUCAUCUGGUGGAUAGAUGCAUCAGCAUGCAAAUCAACCCAACAAUGGAUAACCUACUUGUAAUAGUUAAUUUGCUUUUUUUUUUGUUUAAAGAAAUAGAAGCUAAGGAAAAUAAGAUCCAUUGAGUUGACAUACAAUUUAACACGUGUCAUCUAAUAAUAAGUUUUCGGUUCGUAUUUGCCAGGCAAUGAAAUACUAUAAUUAUUAAUUUACAUACUCGAGAAUCAACAAACCGGUUCUGCCAAAAAAAAAAAAAACCAACCUACCACUCUGAAAUUUUGGUGGAGGUAGAGACCAACAUGGAAGAUGCAUAUUCCUGCACAUUAUUAAUUAAAGUUUUACUUGGAUCAGUUGAGUAGUACGGACGAUAUCAUUGGAUGGGCUGGCAGAUUUGAGGGAGGCCCGGCACAACUCCGUUUAAGUAAUAUGGUUGACUUUGCGACUAGGAAAGUGUGUUUGCAAAUGUAUAAGUAGGUAAUUUGUGGGUUAAUGAACAAAUUCCGAAGUCUUGACUUAAUCCAAGCGUUGAUGGGUGCUUAAUCAAACCGACUUUUUAACGCAAUGAUGAGGAUCAAGUAUUUCAGAGUUUUCCAAAAAAGCUCGUUGAACUUUCCACAUUUAAAAUAUUAAUCUAGCAUCUUGUAUCCAAUGAAUGAUCUGGUACUAUUGUUAGGUAUAUUGUACAAAGUAUGAGCUUUGCCCUUUAGUCUUCAACUUUGUUGUUCUUUUAUUUAAGGGUUAAUACCACUUUGUCCCCCAAACUUUGGAUGAUUACUCACUUCAAUCCCUAAACUUUAAAAUGGGACACUUAAGUCCCUAAACUUAUAAAUACCUCCCACUUAAGGAAAAUUAUUAACAAAUUCUGAAUGUCUGGUGGUCGAAGUGUCCCAUUUUAUAAGGAUUUAGGGAUUUAAAUGUCUCAUUUAUAAGUUUAGGGACUUAAGUGGGAGGUAUUUAUAAGUUAAGGGACUUAAGUAUCCCAUUUUGAAGUUUAAAGAUUGAAGUGGAUAAUCAUCCAAAGUUUGGGGGGACAGAGUAGUAUUAACCCUUUAUUUAACUAUAAAAUGAUGAAUUGUGAUUUUGUAUCCAAUUUUGGCGUUGUUUGGAUAGUAAUUUUUUGAAGAAAAUUUGUUAUAUUUUCUAUGAAUAUGGCUCUAUUUGGAAUGCGAGUUUUUUGGAAAUUUGUCUAAAACUUUAUUGUAACUUGUUGUAUAAGUUUUUAAAAAUUUUUUGAAAUGUGUAGAUUUUUGAAUAUUUUGAAAUGUAUAGUUUAAAAAUUUUGAGAAAUUUUUUGAGAUUACUAUAGUUAAAGUUUUUAAAAAACUUGUAGCAGACAAACUUGACAAAAAAUUUGAAUUCCAAACAAAAUCUAUAUUUUGUAAUUAUAUUUUUAUUUUAUAUAUAUUAAAUUAUUACAAUAAUUUUUUUUAUAAAAAAUUCAAAAAAAUGCAAUCAAAACAAGGACUAAUAUUUUCAGGCAUAGUAUAUAAGCGUCAGCAAUUAGUAAUUAGUAGGACUCAGAAGACAGGUGAAAGACAAGGAACUGAAAUGCACGUGCCAAUUGGGAUUCAUCAGACUGGGCCAACUGGGAUUCAUUUGUACAACCGGUGACCCACCUAAGGCAAAGGGUGGGUCCGGAAACCCACUCCACCCGAGGAAUCAUUAAAUCCGACUCUGGGACAAAUUUGGAAUCCGAAAAAGCCAAAAUACAGCCAAAGUCACUAUAUGGGGCCCACUGAUAACACUUGCCUUACACCACUAGAGAAACCCAAGGCGCCCAGCUCUCCCCAUCCAUUUGUCGUUUCUAGUUUCUACUCAUCCGUCAUCAGUACUCAGCGGUAUUUUAUAUAUUUGCGUACUUGCUUCCGAGCCCCACGAAAGCGUGCUUCCUCUCUGGAAACUCAAAAGCUUUGGAGACCCAAUCAGGCGCCUCGUUCUCGUUCUCUCCCUCUCUGCUGGUUUUAUUAACUUGCAAUUUGCAGUUUGCUACAGACCUAGCAGUUCUCGCCGGUGGCGGCGGCGAUUGCGCGAAAAUUUCAAAACCGAUAGAUGGAGGCAAACGAGUUUGAACUUUACAAUUCCCCAAUCCUCUAGGUAGUCUUAUAUGCUCAAAAAACGCCCAGUGUUUUAAAUUGUCAAUGCAUAUUUGCGUUUUUCCUUUUGUUCUUUUCCUCGUGAAUAUUGGCGUCAUUUAAUGGUUUACGAUCUCUAACAUAUGUGGCAUUCUUCUUCUUUUUUUUUUCGCGUUUUGGCGUGAUGAUAUUUCUUCUAGUAGUUCAUUAGCAACAUUUGCUUUUGUUAACUCUUGAAAUUAUUUCAUAUUUGGAAGUUGAUUGACAGUUUUAUUGCUUGCGCUUUGUUGCGACGAUGUUUGCUUAAAGUUGUAUUAGAAGUAAGAAGUGGACGAGUCUCUGAUUUAGAAAAUUAAAAUCAGUUAACUUAAGGAAGAAAUUCGAAAACCGUUGGUGAAAUUCUCGUGCAAAUGAUGUCCCAAAGGUGGAGUCCGGUAUUUUAGGUAGUUCACUUAUUGUUUUGAAAAAAAAAUGUGUUUAGCUGCCGAGAAAGUUGUUAAUAGUUAAACCAGAAAGUGAGGGCUAGAUCAAGACUCUGAUCUAAAUAGCAAAAUUAUACUAAUUGUUUCAUUAGGCUAUUAACAAGAAAUUCAAAAAUAGUUUAUGAAUUUCUCAUGAGAUGUUGUAGUGCAUGUCGAUCCCUGCAUUUAGACUGCGGAUUUAUAAUCUUGUAAGAUUUCUUUUCCGUUUUUGAAUCCUUUUUGAUGAUCGGGGGGAGGGUGAGAAACAAAGAAUUACAGAACAUCAGUUUCUAUAUUCCUUGUCUAUGUAAUGCUUCUAGUCAAACUUUAGUUAAAGACAGAGAAAAAAUGAGAUCAAUAAGUAGUAUCAGAUUUUGUGGAAUUUUGCACUUCCCUGACUGAUACUGAAACCAGAUGGUUUCUUGGUUACAGGUGUUCCUUUUCUUGUCUGUCCUACAUUAGCAGGUUAUUGAUCAUCAGCCUUAUGGUUGGAUUUGAGGCAUCUCUAUUCAAUUCUAUUGCCCUCGGCUCUGAGAAUUUUGCACAAUAGUCUUCCAUUCUGUUAUAAUGGAGAAUUUACAUGAAAAAGUCCAUAAAGUGCUUCCUCAUUAAUUUCCUCAUUUUCACUGGCUUUUGACACCAGUUUUAUCGGCUUUAGCACGUGCUUGUCAAAAGAAGGUUCUCAAGAUAUGGACAUUUUGUUAUUGACUUCAAUGGAGCCUCCAAUGAAACGAAGAGCUGGUCUAUGGAUUGUACAGGCAGGACGAGGAUCCUAUCGGGGCAGUUAGUGAGGGUUUUUAGUGAUUAUUUGGCGCUUAUUAUUGCAAUAGUGGUUUUUAUUUCCUGGAAAGGUAAGAUAAAUAAAUGGGGUCACCUUCUUUGAGGCAGUUCCUGCAGAGUCUUUGCUGCAAUUCUCCCUGGGACUAUGCGGUUUUUUGGAAGUUUCAGGAGCAUCAAAAUGAAAUGUAAGCUAAUUCUUCAACCCUUUCAAGCACCUGCAAGUGCUAAUUCUACAUAAUUGUAUUUUGACUUUUGAUAGGAAAUUCAUACAUAAAUAAUUAGACUUUUCUAAUUAUGUGAAUCGUUUACAACAAUUGAACAGGAAUUUUAACUUGAAAUUUAGAUGACACGAUUCUAGACUCGUUAUCCUUGGUUUUGUAGAAUGUAUGGCUUCUUGUUGUAGCAGAUCUUUCUAUCUAAUUUUAUCUUUUGUAAUAGCUCGUCUUCAGGAUUUUUUGGAUUAACAGCUGAUAUACUACAUGUUAUGAGAAAGGAACUAAAUUGUAUUAUACAUUCAUCUCCAAAUGCUCUUUGCUUCAGCUUUUGUGGUCCUGCAUCUUGUAAAAUUUAUCUAAAUCUUGCAAUGCGCCUGAAGCAGUUUUGCAAUAUAUGGUUAUUAAAUUUCUUCAGUAUUAGAAGAUUGAUUAUGAUAUGUGAUAUGCAAUGUAUGUUAAAGUCAUCGAUCCUGUGCAUAACACCUGAAAUCUGAAUAAAGAAAUCAGUAGGAAUCAGAUAGUAGGAAGCUUAUUUGAUCUUAUCAUUUUAGAGCCCUAGCUUUUCAAAUCUUGCAUAUGGGAAAUGGACCUCACUUCUCAUGUCAUAUCUUGCUUCCGUUGUUUCCAGUAGUAUGUCUACAAAAGUGUUACCAGCUUGUUCUUGAUAAUUGUUCUCCAAUUCUUUAGGCUUCUGGUAUGGGAUGAAGGACUAUUUGACUUUUCAAGACCAAUGGAUCCCAUGGAAGGCAUGAUGAGUUCUUUUUCUUUGAACAGCUCAUAUGAGAGGUUAACCUCAGCUUGUGCAUCUGGUACACAAAAUGGAAGUUUAAGUGACUGUCCAAUUGCAGUUGCAAUGGCUGAAAUGUCAAAUACUUAUUAUGUAGUCGGAAAGGGGUAAACUCUUGUACUUUUUAAGUGUCAUUACCUAUUUUAACUUCGUCAAUUCUGCUUAUAUGCUCUUGUUAGUUGGUAAUAUAUGUUAAAUUCAAUCUUCAAGGGAUAUGCAUACCUCCAUAAACAUCUAACUUCAUAGUUCUCUAUAUGUAAUUCCACCAAAACUGUUAUAUAAUGAAUUUUUAUCAUCAAUGGUGCUUAUGGAUUAUGCUACUACAAUUGAAGAGAACCAGAACCUCACUGCGAAUUAGGCAGCUCUGGAGAACUUUGUUUUGCCAAGGAAUGGCCAAUCAUAAAGUCCAACUUGUCAUUGAUAUUGCUGGAAAUACAAUAUAACUUUACAUUUAUUGGGAUGCUCCAGUGUGGUUUACAUUCCUUCAAUUGGCCACCUGCUUGCAUGCUAGACGCUGGAAAUGAGUGGCUCUGCUUAGCAUAUAAGCUUUAUUAUAUGCAUGAUGCGAGUCAAUUUUUGCUUCCAACUAAUGGAUUCAUAAUGUAAUAUUCAAUCAGGCUUGUAGGUGAAGCGGCAUAUACAGAGUGCCCAAGCUGGAUUUUUGUUGAUAACUUUAUGGCUGGUGGAUUGAGCUCUAAUGUGGUUUCAGAGGUAAGUGCUGCAUGGUUUUCUUCCUUUUAAGCAUUGAGGGAAAAAGUGUACUGAUUUGUGCCAUUUACAGUAUCCGGAGGAGUUGCUUCAUCAAUUUGUUGCAGGUGUAAAGGUGAUUCUUUAAUGAAAAUGCUUAAAGAAGAGGAUCAUUUUGAUUACUUUAAUUCCAUGUUCCUGUAUUAAUCAAGUUUGGUGCCAUUUAUUUCUAACAUCUACUCUUAUGACGAUGCUUGUGCAGACUAUGUUGCUAGUGCCUUUAAUUCCACAUGGAGUAUUACAACUUGGGUCACUGGAUGUGGUACGUCAUAUGCUUGAUCAUUUGCAAAAUAUUGGCGCUAUUCCAAUUUAUGUUCCUUUUCCGGGUGGGCAAAAUUUUUUGCUUCUGUAUCAUAUGAUGCAGAGGAAGCUAAGCAGAAUACUCUAUAUAUUGCAUGAUAUAUGUGUACUAUUUGCGCAGCUGAAGAAAAUUUACAUGUUAUGUAUUUUAAGCUUGAGUAUUUUUACUUAUCUUGCUCAUUGUUACCAUCCAAGUGGCUUUGGCUUUACACUAUCAGGUACAAGAAGAUGCAGGACUGGUGGUCCGUGUGAAAAACAAAUUUUGUGGUCAACAACUUGCAGCAUGCUUUUCACCUUUUAGGGCGGUUAGAAUUUCUCCAGUUCAACCAACAGAUCUGAUGUCUAGUUACAUGGAGAAUUUAGGUGAAUCUUGCAUGGGCAUCUUUGAGAUUGAUGAAGAUCAUAAGGUUUUGGGCAAUUUUGGUAUGGAAGGCCAGCACAUGACAGCUACAAAUCAACUCAUGUCCAUGUUCCAAGAUUCACAUCAGAUCUUCAGUGAAGAUAUGGCAAAAUAAUUGGCAAGGAAACCAAAAGUAAAAUUAACAUGGACUCGGUCAAUCUAAUUGAUGUUGCAGAGCCGUUCAACCAUGAAAUAUGGGAAAAUAGUGAAUUAGAGUUGGUAAAGAAUCUCUUUGGAUCUUCUUGUCUUGAUGAAGAAUUAGCAUGCUUAUCUAACUUUAGCGGCUACAGUACAAGCAAUCUGGGUAACCCUGUUGAUAAGAUUAUGCAAUCUUACUCAAAUAAUGGUAUAGUGGAAUCUUCAUUCGGGGUGAAUGAUUGUCAGAAUGAAAGCUAUGGAAGUGGAAGCCAAAAUUUGAAAUUUCCCUCCGACUGUGAACUGCACAAAGCACUUGGUCAAAUCCUACUGAACCAUAGGGAUCUGAAUUUGUCAGAUGAUAGUGCAGCUGCAAGCUCUAUUUUCAAAGAAGAUAUUAUCAACAUCGAUGCCCCUUCAGCUUGCAAAUAUGGCACAAGCUAUCUAAACAAGACAAGAGCAUCUCAUGCAUGCCGUUAUUCCUAAGACGAAUAGCAUCUCAGGUGAUAAUUCAUCUAAUAGGGAAUCAUGUUCUGGAGAAUCAAUUAUGUCAUCCUUCAUGAGAUUAGGUUCUAGACAGUGGAACAAAGGUGCCUUGACAGAAGACAAUCAGGUUAAAUUGAGUUGUGUGACCUCAGCAUUCAGUAGGGACAAGAAUUCUGCACUGAAAGUGUCAUCUUCAGCAUCUUCAUUGGGUGCAUGAUAAAUGCAUUGCUUGAAGAAGACCUAAGAAAAAUGGGAAUGUUCCCAUCCGCUCCACAAAAGGCUCAAAGUUUACUGAUGCAAACAAACAGAGAGCACGAUCUGGUGAGAAUCAGAAACCUAGACCAAGAGAUAGGCAGCUGAUUCAAGAUCGGAUCAAAGAGUUGCGUGAACUUGUCCCAAAUGGAACAAAAGUGAGUGAGAAGCUUUGUGUAAUGUUAAUGCCUUUCAUUUCACUUCUUGAUUCAUAUUUUCUUGCUCUCAGUUAACAAUUUGCACUUCCUUUACUAAUGCAGUGUAGCAUUGAUGGUCUCUGGAUAGGACCAUUAAGCACAUGCAAUUCUUGGCUCGCGUAACUGAUCAGGCAGAUAAAAUAGGGAAGCACGUUGUGAAGAAGGUAAAUUCCAUCGCAAACUUGUGGUACUCUUUUGUUUUUGGGCUUUCUGUUACCGAGACUUUUAAUGUUGGGUGGUAUCCAUUUUGCUAGAAUUUUUGUCAAGGGUUUAGCCAGGUAUGUAUAUGAGACAAUCUGUCUUUAGGUGUUUAAUUUGGGGUUGGUGGGGGGAAGGGGUGGGGAAAGAAAUGUGCUGGAUUUUCUAUGCCAUCUAUUGAGUGCUUACACAAGAACCGAAGUUUUCACUCUGUAGGUAAUACGUAUGAUUAUUGCUCCAAUCAUGACUUCAUGUAUCUGAUAAACAAUUAUUUUCACAGUGACACAAUUGUUUUUGGCUACAACCUUAAACUUAGACCUGUCAGCUAAUCUUUGUUCUGAGACAGUCAUUAAUAUUGUAUUUUGUUAAUAUGACCAUUCGGCAGAAGAUGGAAACAUGAAGUAGUUCUAGGAAUUAGACCGUAUUGUUGCAUGAAACUAAAGAUCUCUCCAUCAACUUGGGUUGCAACUCGUGCAUCUAUUAUUAGAGUUUCAUAGCACAACAAAUAGGUAGUAGUCAUGUUUGACUUAAAUCUCAUUAGAACAUUCAAUUUGAGCAUCCACCCUUCUCCUCUACGCAGAAAUAACUAAAUAAUAAUGAAAAAAUAACUGAAAAUAACUGAAUAUUUAACUCGGUUCUUCCCAGCUGUUUUGAUUACCUUGGCAAAUCAAUUAAAGUAGUUCAGCCAUUUUUCAGUUGAUUUCCGGUAUGUUCCUCUUUGAGUCUGCUUAGCUCUCUAUUCUUGAAAUUAGGAGAAUAUUAAGCGUAUUUGUACUCUUAAGAUCUUCUUGAAAUUGUCUUUGCAUAGGCAUGGAAUCAGAAGGAUAUAAAAUUACCCAAAGUUGAGAGCAACACACAAGAUGGGGCAAGUUGGGCUCUGGAAUUUGAAAAUGAGCAACAAACUUGCCCUAUAAUUGUGAAAGAUCUCGAAUGCCCAGGGCACAUGCUUAUAGAGGUAUGUGCGCUGCGGGAUUUUCUGCUUUUUUUUUUCUUUCUGCCUUUGCAAUAAGACUCAUCAAGGACGUAUUUCCCUCUGAAAAUAUCCUUAUGUGCAUGUUGCUUCUGGCCCUUCCUAACUACAAAACCCGAAACAGAUGCUCUGCAAUGACCACGGCCGCUUUCUAGAAAUUGCUGAUGUUAUUCAUCGUUUGGAAUUGACUAUCUUGAAGGGUGCCAUGGAAAAGCGGCCCGAUGAAAGUGCCUGGGCUCACUUCAUUGUCGAGGUACAGAUUACCCACCUUACAAGCAUAUCCCUCUGUUUUUCUCCUAGAGCCAUGACGGAGUGAAUGUAUCUGAAUGCAGGCCUCAGAGAGCUUCCACCGGCUAGAUAUUUUCUGGCCUUUGAUGCAGCUCUUGCAGCAAAACCGUACCCAAAUUUCCAGCAAGAUAUAAAAUAUUCGACUGGGUGAGAAAAUCAUCUCUAGCUAUCUUUCUUUCAAGUUUAUCAAAGCAAGGUCAUGCAUGUUGUUUAUGGCGUGGAAAUAAAAUGUAACCCAAAUACUGCAGGCUCUAGACUGCUGCGUUCCUCUCUCGCUUUAUUUAUAUGUUUAUUUUUAUUGUUAUCAGUAUAAUUUCAACACAAAAAAAAACUUAAAAAGGUAAAUCAAGAUCGUUACUUUUGUACCAAAAGAUGAAAAUGGCAAAAUACAUAUGCAAUUCAGAGGGGCUCUAUUUUUAACAUUACGAUUUUGAGAAAUAUUUCUGUUAAUCUUGGGAAGGUAAUAGAAAAAAGCGCAAAGGAGCGAUAUUUCUCUUUGCCUCAUGAAGGCAAUAGAAAAACACGCAAAGGAGAGCAAAAACACUGGUGAUUUUAACUGUCCAACGAUGAAGAUACUGCCCUAACAAAAUUGUCUCCUUUCAUAACCUGCUGGAGCCUCUUAGCUCAAAGCUUUGGCUAGUGAUAGCGUGUGCCACCAACCGCAAGCUAACUUGUGGCAGGAAACCUUCUAUGGGAACCUCACAAGGGGAAUUCCUGUCGAUGGCGUCGCCCAAGCCUAGCUGCGGUUAUUAGGAAGGCAAAAAAGAAGGUUGAAGAGUUGCACUCAACGCGCAAGAAAUAGAUUGAAUUGUGCCCGAGAUCAAUAAUACCUGACCAUACUUAUUCCAGCCCCAGCUAUAUACCUUACUGUUCUCUGUGACAUGGUCAAAGAAGAAGACAUCAAGAAUUGCUUAAACUAUGUAAAUGUGCCUGUUGUUAUGAUUAAAAGUAAAAUGCCAGUGCAAUGCCAAAUGUUCACGUCUCCGUUUCUAACUUCUACACAGACUAUUUACAUAUGAGCAUGGAUAUAUUUAGGUUUCUCCUCAACUGAUUAUGGUUGUAAAGCUUAUGUUUGAAAAGGCAAAGUCAGAAUUCAAAAGCCGAAAGAAAAAGCAAUUAACAACAUAAUAUAACUAAUUUUCUUAGUAAGAAGCUAAAAGCGCAAAAAAAUUAAUUGAGAACAUUCCCUAAGUGACUCAAGCUGAGCAUUAUGGAUAUAGUUCACAACUAAUAAGUCCAUUUUGAUAUUCCACCUAUUGCACGAAUCAAUACAAUUUUGUUUAAGCAAUGAAAUAGAACAGGUAUAAUCACCAGAUAUGUAGCCAUACCUGUCAGUAUGGCACUAUGUCGAGCUCCGCAAGAAACCAUUUUGGCCCUUUUGUGCUCGAGAAUUGGAGCAUCCAAAAGCCUGGGCAGAGUCUGUGACACAAGAAAUCUGCAUUGAGACUACUGGAAUUACCACUAAAUUAAAAGAAAAGUAACCAAAGACCUGUAAUAUGAACAAGCUCGUUUCUUUUCGGAACAGUUCUUAAGAUUGCAAUAGCUAUCCUUGACUACAUAUUCCAUGCACUUUCAACAUUUCCAAUAUAAAAGUUUGUAGCAAUUGGGAUGAAGUAAAAGUCACAAAUUUCAAUCAUAUUUUUAUCUUAUCAAUCAUCUUUUUUAUCUCACAUACAUCACAUCACAAAAAGUGCUACAGUAAUUAUCUCAAAUAAAUUAUCCAAAUAAAUUCCUAUCCAAACAAACUCAGUUGUUCCACCACAUGGCUCCAACAGAACCUGAGAGAAGCUUGCAACAGGUCACUUACCUCAGCCUGAUCAGUAAUGGUACCCAGCCCCAACUGUCCAAAUUGGUUUCCACCAAAAACAUGCACACGACCGUCAGCAGAUACACACACUGUAUGCCACAGUCCAGCUGCUAAUGCUUCAAUACAAGUUCCUGACAGAGAUGCGACAGCAGUUGGUCUCAGAACAUCAUUAGUAUUGCCUUGUCCACACUGCAUAAGAAGAUUUUUACAGUGAGGACAAUUAUUCCAGAGCAGUGGAAAUUGAUCAGCUAUCAUAGAAGUACACAGACUACCAAAUGCAGAGAAUGCUAUGGAUCCCUAGCUCUUACUGAGCAAAAUUAAGCAUCUAAUACCUGCCCAUAUAGUCCCCAGCCAAAAGUAAGCAGCACACCAGCAUCUGAAAAUGAGGAGACAUCAUAUCAGCACAAGAACAACCAAUUUUAGAUGAAAAUCUCCAUUACGAUAAACCUCUGCUAAAGUGAAUCAUCUACGACUCGAGAAACUUUAUAGAAUGCUAAGAAAAGCAUUUGAAUUAAGUCAAAUGAAUAAAGAGUACUAUCCAUCUCAUGGCUGAAGAACUAGUAAAAUUAAAUCAAAAGAAUAAGAAUUAAGGUACUCGAACCUCAAAACUUGUAAGCAGCAAAUGUAAGCUAAUGUUAGGCUGUAUAAUAACUACAGACAUAAUUGUGUUCAUCGCUCACCUGUAAUUACUGCACUAUGCCGACCUCCACAAGCAAUGUCCCUUAUGUAGCUUCCAAAAACUUUUUGAACAUGAGCUGCUGAAGUUAUACCUCCUUGAGGCAUCAUUGAAGGACUGUCUUUUCCAUUUAAAUAAGGCUCAAUGCAAGGUAUAAGGUGAGGUGAAGCCACCAAUUUUAUCCGAGAGCCCAAACCUAGCUGUCCUUCUCCACCAUAGCCCCAACCCCAUACCUGUCCCAUAUCUAAAUCCGGUAAAAAUAUGAUGCAUCAGGUCUUGCUUUACAUUAAAGAUCUUCCAUAGCUUCGUACUUCUACAACCUACAAAACUAUAUGAAAUAACUAUACAGAAGCAACUACUCCUGGGAAGUCAUGCUUAUAGUAGUUGCAUGCACAAGCUGCACUUCAAUUUACCUGAUGAUGCCAAGGUAUGACGGCCACCAGCAGCAACAGCUGUAAUCUUCACCCCUGGAUCCAAAGCUACACGACAAGGUGGGGCCGACAGUGGUUCAUCAUUGGCUAUUGAACUUUCAAAUUCUUGUUUAGCAGGUGAAAUUCUCCUUCGCUUUGUGCUUUCCUCUCCAGGUCUUUUAUUUUCUAAAUGAGACUCCAAGCUAAAAGUUGAUUUUGAGCUUGGAGAUCGUGGGCUCACUACAAAAAUCAAACUCAAUAAAUUAAUCUCUAUUCACCGAUCUCUGACAAUAUAAGGAUAUGGAGUGCUUUAUUUUGAAAGUAUUGAUGUACAACCUAAAAUUGAAUGCAUUACCUUGCUCACUCGCUACCGAAUUUUGUUUCUCAAACGCAUCAUCUUCAUCGCUUUCCCCAGCAGAGAAAUUACGGGUGAUCAUCCCAGAUGGAACACACUCCUUCCAACCCCAGGUGUACACAUUGCAAUUAUCUGAAGGUAAAUUCAAGUAGCUCUUAAGUCGAGAUGCACAUUUAUUUUUCUCUUAAAAGAAGAGUGUAGGUGGAAGGAUUGUCAAAAAUUGCAAUCUCAGUAUCUAAUACUGUUUGGAUUGUAAAUUAUUUCAGUAUCUAAUACUGUUUGGAUUGUAAAUUAUUUGAGAUAUUUUUACUGUAGCACUUUUUGUGAUGUGAUGUAUGUGAGAUAAAAAGAUAAUUGGGAAGAUAAAAAUGUGUGUUGGAAAUUGUAAUGAUGAUGUAAGCAAAUAAAUUUUAACUAAUAAUUCUCUAUCCAAACAAAUAGCGUUAAGCAUGCGAAAAAACUAAGACAAACAUUACUACAUGUCAAGCCAGUCUCUUUAGUAGAUGAAGACAAAAUAGCGUUAAGCAUGCGAAAAAACUAAGACAAACAUUACUCAGUUUCUGCUUACCAAAUUCAGCAGAAUCUACAAUUUGAGGAGCAGGUGGUGGAAUGAAUUUUCAGGACACUAUUAUUGACCAGUACCUGUAAUUGAAACACAAUGUGCCCAACCAGCAGCAGCCUUCAGGACGGGAGCCUCAGUUGGAAGUGAAAACUCCUCCGGAGUCUCCUGAAUAAUUGGACGGAGAAAAUGCAAAAUUAACAAGGAGAGAUACACAAUUUUAUUUGAAUAGUUCAGGUUUGCUGCACUACCCCAUGCUUGCCUGACGUCAGAUAGCUUUGGCCUUGAUCAUCAGUUGAUCCCCAAGUAAUGAGUUUUCCCGAGCCUAAUAACAAAAAUGGUUAAGUUAGACAGAGAAAUACACAAGUAGAGAAGCGAAAGCAUUAAUAGCAUGAAAGGUUUUCCGCAAAACUUCAGCAGCCAAAGCCUCUCUCAGUGGCCUUAAAUCCUAAUAUGUAAUUUAGCUGCAUUCAUACUUCUAAACUCAGCUCACAGUUUACAGAAACUCCUUUUCAAUAGGAGGAGGAAGCAGCUUCUUAAUGCUCAAAACAUGAGUUUAAGCUACACUACAUAAAUUCUGCAUUCUGCCGAGCGAAUGAGCACAGAGAGCAUUGAAUAACAUGCACAAGUUACCCCGGCUCUACUUCAAUAUUUCGGUAUUGAGAAUAAAACAAGAAAUUGAAAUUUGAAUUCAACUUUAAACUAGUAAGUGACCGUAGUACUUCAAAAAAAAAAAAAUAAAUAAAGAAAAGAAAAGAAAAUCAAACUACCACCAACGUAAUCAAUUUUAACAAUUAUUCAACGAACUACACGUUUAUCAUCUAUGCAUUUGUUUUCCCCAGUUACGUAAUCAUAAGAUAGAAACAGAGUAAUUGAACCAGAAAACCACGCGGCGUGAAGAAGAAUAAAUAUACUCGUUCUUCUCUUUGCCGGAAUUCUUAGUUAUAAGAAAGAAUGAGCGUAAUGCAUACGAAUAGUACUUCUCCUAGCUCAAUCUAGAAAAAUGUUCGCAUGAAAAAAUAAGUUCAAAUCUAUGACAAAGCCUAGUAUAAAAAUACGUUCUCUGCUCCUAAAUUUCUUUCAUAAAAUUGGUCGAUUAAGGUUGUUACUUGGUGGUGGAAGUGGCAGUGCCAGCCAGAAUGUUACUAAGAGGCAAUGGAUACCUGAGAUGGCGAGGGCGAAACCACAGCCACCUGCACAAACGUCCUUCCAGGAAUCUCUGGAGUCAGGAAACUGUAUCGGCGUUGGAGAAAGCAGCGGCAUGCGCUGCUGCGAAGCUCCGGGAAGAUACCCCCACAUUAACACCACCGGCGACUUCCUCUUGCUUUUGUUCUCGGUGAUUUCCUCUUCACUCUCCAUCUUGUCUUCCUCCACACCUCUACCUCCAACUCCACUCAUGGCUUCAGUACUUUAUCCUCAAAUUUACAAAGAACUGCUGCUGCUUAAUUUAAAAAACCAAAAAAAAAAAAUCCAAUACAGAAAACUUAAAAUACGCCGGCGCCGGCGCCGGCGACUGGCGACUGAGAUCUGAUCCGAUAGUAGUAAUUUGCAAUCUACUACUGUCCGAGUAUGAUCUUAAAAUUUACUAGUAUCUCACAUCCGUAGCUAGCAUUUGAUUUUUGGUUCCAGAAGCCAAUGGAAACUAGGCUUCCACCCGCUCUUUUUAAAUACCGCCAUUAAUAAGCAUCCAACUCUCGCUUAGUUUUAGCACUUCAUUUGGCAGUAGUAGAAUUUUGAACUUAAUAAAAACAUGGCGAUUGGGGCUGGGGAGGUGGGCGUAUCACUAGCUAGUAAACUGUUGUGCCACGUAGGUUCGGAGGGGUCACCAUGGGACACGUGUUAACGCCAAAGCCAUUGGAAGGGUUGCCACAGCACAGUCCAUUCCAUUUGGAGCCACGAGUUUACUCGGGAAGUUUCUGGAAGAACAGGCGUCGCCCUUGCGCUUCUGUGUCAAUUUACGUACUGAAGUGAUGAUACUCUGGUACUCGUAGUUCUGUGUAUGGUCUAACUCUGUCCCAUCUUUUGCUUCUUAAAAAAAACUCUGUCCAGUCUUUCAUCCAAUUUCGGCCACUUUUUAAUUAUUUUGAAAAAAAAGAAUCCAGCCUACUCACUUGCCACGUGGUGGGGUCACUUUUUUUCUAGCCUACUGUUUUUAUUAUUUUUUCUGUUAAAUAUUAAUUUUUUCUUUUUUUUUUUAUAAGAUCUGUCCAACAAAUAUUUCCUCGACAUCUAUUAACAAUUAGGUAUUCAAUUUUUAGAAAGAUAAAAUUAAAGAAAAUAUAUAAAUCUACGAAAGAAUAAUAGUUAUUAAUAUGUAUAUAUAUAUACCAUAAAAAUUAGAUGAAAUUUAUAUAUGUGAAAGAAUGUUUGACACCCAUUAAAAAUAAACCUUUUUGUUAAAGAAAUAUUCUAGUUGAUUAAACAUUCAACUAGUCGUCAUUCAAGUCACGACUCCAGUGUUUUAGAAAAUUCUUCGUAAUUAUAGAGCAUAUGGAAAGUACAUGCUGUCACUCUCAGAAUGAUUGUCCCGUGCGUCACAUUUUCCGUGUCCAUUUUGAUUUUCAAUGGGUUAGUUUACUCGAACUGUCGGAAAAAUAAUUAGGCAGAUGGCAAAUUUGAUCAAUAAACCUUCUUUUCAUUAAAGCCGAUUUAAUUCAUAGCUUUUAAUACUCGAGCCUGAAGAGGUAAAUUCCGACUGAUCUGAACCGAAGGGAUUCACCUAUCAAAUAUGCACAAAGGACACAGUACGAGGCUUUAUUCUCCGGUCCCACUCCGACGAUCAAGUCAGCUCGAAUACUUAAUUGCAAACUAAAAGCAAGGAUUUGGUAUCUCUAGUAUUUACAUAAGUGAGAGUGAGUGUCUAUACCUUUCCUGUGGAUGGAAGGGUAUUUAUAAGAGAUAAUAUGGUGGGAAGAAUGAUAGACUCCAGUUUUCAUGGGUCUUAGGCUGACAAUGUUAGGCUUACGCUUGAUGGAAGGGACAUAACACUGGUCAUGUCACUGUCACGUUAUUCCGUCAUGCACAAAUUAUUUUUUUAAUGGUACGUCAAAUAUCAGAUAGGAAACCAAGUCGAGGUGAAAUCACCUCAGGAGAGAUUGAGACUGGCCCCGAGGACAAAGCAAUAAGCCAAGGUAACAUGGAAUUCCAGAAGUCACCUCGUCUAGUCGCGAAAUCGAAGGGGCCGAGGUAUACGCCGGUAGAGCACAUCUAAGACUUUCAUCAUCAUUCAAAGGCAAUUUGACUACUAAUUUAACAACUAAAUAUGACAUUUUGAAAACCUUGGAUAAUCUCCUUUCCAACCACACAGUUCCUUCUUCUUUACCCACCAUUUUGCUCCUACCUCUCUCUCAAAUCCCUUUUCCCCCACCUUUGAGUUUGCUUUGCAAUUGAGAAAAUUGAGGAGGAAAUCUGUAAAUGCGUUCUGGCUUAAGUUAAAAAAAAUAGCAUAAAUAUGCAAAUUUAUCACAUUUGCCACCAUUGUGGUUGGUAAAUGAAAAGGUUAUUUCUAGACUGUCAAGCCGAACUGCCCUAAUACGUCUUCUUCCUGAGUUAGGUGGCUUUGUGUUGUAUUUUCCCUGAUACACACACAAGACGAGGUUUUUUUCCCAUGGAAUACCUCUGAUGAUUAAAUUAGUUUUUUGGGAAAUGAAUAAUGAUAAUGAAAAUAGUUGAGAGUUCUCUCUUUUUUAUUUAGGAGGGAAUGGUAUUUAUAGAAGCCUAACUGGAGGGAAAGAUGGUAGACUCCAAUUUUCCAGGAUCUGACAGCUUGUGUGUCCUGUCUGUGAGGAUGGUCUCCUCGGCUCGUGUAUAACGAAGCCGUUCUUCACGAGGGAAUCGUGGUACUCAUACCGUAGCCACCUCGGUCCCUAGCCACGUGUUGACAACCGAGGUGACCCCGUCUUAGUUGUCAACUCGGGCCAUCCUCUGGCCGACCAUAAUCGAGGUUAUGUCCAAGGACCUCGGGGCCCAAUAGCGAGGAUAUGACCCCUGACACGCUGGUGAUGUCUGAUGCUGACACUAUCCUGACACACUACCCCCUGCACAAUGUUGCACAUUGUGGUCAAAUCCCUGUGAUAUGCUGUCUCCAUCAAAUGUCUAGGGACCUGGACAUACAGUUCCUCUCUCCCGAUUGUCCCUUAUAAAUAGCAGGAGAUCCCACAGAGAAAUGGGACGAAUCUCUGGUAAAGUAACCUAAACUUCCAUUAAGUCUCAUACUUUGAUAUCUCAUACCGAACUAACUUAAAUUUCGGAGUUACAUCGGGGACCCAACCCCUCUUCUUACAAGCAGGUGAUCUAGGUUGAGUGUUUUGUCUAGACAAUAAUCCCUACCUGCAAUCCGAGGCUACUAGUCCGGUCAAAAAUCACUUCUUCUGUUUGUGUUGACAAGAUGUAGCAGUGGUCAAGUAUUGUCAAACGCCAUGUCUUUCUGCCAUGUCAGCGUUAGGGGUCCCUCAAGGUGUCAGUUAUUAGGGACAAUUCAUUAGUCGAGAGGGCUCGAUAUUUCACUGGGGACUCGAGUUGAUACAACAUUGGCCCGAAGUGACUGGAAGUACAGGAAUCCCCAGUCAUUUCUUUAUAGCGGCCAGGCCGACGUGACCGUCCUCAGUUGAGAAAAGAAGAUUCGAGCCAUUUGCCCAAUCGCUGCUGGAGCGUUUGUCAGCUGCAGUUGGUGCACUGUCAUAAUCAUCACUAGGGAUGGCAACAAGGUAGGGUUAGGGCGGGGGACCCCUCCCCUAUCCCCCACCCCGCUGCCUACAAACUCCCCCACCCCGCCCCAUCCCCCGUCCCCCGCUCCCUUCACCUCGUCCCCGUCCCACCCCACCCCGCGCCGCUUCCCCCGUGGGGCUAAUAAAAAUUUGUUAUAUAAUUUUAUUAUGGUUAAAUUUUAACAAAUAAUAAAGUACUAAAAUAUCAACACAUCAUUAAAUUAUUAUUCAUUGUAAUUUUACAAUUGAACUUAUAAAAACAAUCAAAUAAAAAUUAUUUGAAUACAAUCCAACAUGACGAAAUAAAUAUAACUAAAGUAGUCAAGUUUUCACUUUUAGCACAAAAACAAUCACUAAUUCAUUAUUGUGCUUGUGUUUUUUUUUUUUUUUAAAUGUUAUUGUAUUAAGUGUAAUUAGAGAUUUAGUAUAAAUAUAUUAGUAAAUUUAGUAUAACCAAUUAAUAAUUUGUAUUAGUACACAUAUAUAAUUAUUAGUAUAAUUAAUAAUAUCAAUUAUAUUAUAUAUACUAAUAGAUAUUAUAUAAUACAUAUAACUAAUAACAUCAUUAUCAUAAGUUUGUAACUAAUUAAAUUAUAUAUUAUAUAUAAUUAUAUAUAUUUUUAUAUAUUUAUUUUUUAAAGCGGGUGGCGGGGCAGGGGUACACUCCCCCGCCCCUCGCUCCGUUUCUAAGCGGGGGGAAAAAAUUCCCCUCGCCCCCGCCUCCGCCCUCGUCCUACCCCCCGCCCCAACCCCCUUCCCAUUAGCCCUCCGCUGGAUGGGUGCCUGCGGUCACCCGCCCCCAUUGCCAUCUUUAAUCAUCACUGCGGUCUUUUGUUGAUAUCCUCCCAAUGCUUUCAUACUAAUGGUUUCACAAUUUCUAAAAAUCACCUUAGUCAUUUUACAUAUAUUGAGCCCAUGCAAAAAUAUAUAGUUUUGUCAAUCUCACUAACAAAUUCUUACAACACUCCUGCUGUUUUGUCUCCUGCUGUUUUGUCCUAGAGAACUUCAAAAUUUUCACACGGAGUUUAGUGAUCUACAAAGGUUACAAAUACAAGGAUUUAUGAUAUUUGAACAAAUGAAAUCUGAAACCACUAAUCCAUAGCCCUUGACUUCUAGCUACGGAAGGGGUAGUAGGGGUAUAGGUGUUGAGGAAAGAGGAAUGGGAUGGGUUGACAGGAAAUACGGUGGCAGAAAAGAGUGGUCGACGAAGAGGAGUGGAGGGGAGGGGAGGGAAGUGGAGGCGGGAGUGGUGAUGAUUGGGAGAGAUGAGGUAGGAGAAGGAUUAAAAAAUUAAUUAAAAAUUUUAAAAAUAUCUCAAAAAAGUUUAAAUCUUAAAAAUACCUCAUAUUAAUGGGUUUUUAUCUAAUUUACUUGGCUUUAUUAAAAUCUAUACACGGUUUUCAAAAUAUUCCUAUUUAACUAUUAAAUUAGACGUCCAAUUAUUUUUAGAUGAUGAUGUUACAGCAAAGAGAUUUAAUUGGAUCCAAAAAUGAGUUUAAGGAGCAAUUGGUCAAGAAUAAAAGUUAAAGACUAAAUUGACUCUAAAAAAAAGUCUAUGUCUUAAAUUGGCCAUUUUUCCAAUAAAAUUAAAUACAUUUGAGAGGUGUCAAAAAGUUGUCGCUGGAAAAGGGAAAAGAGCUUGUACACGCGACUGCGCGAGGUGACGGAUAUAUACAUGGAGGACUAAGGAUCCAAAUAAGCUUUUGCUCAAAAUAAGGAUUUGGAUCCUGGGCUAUCUCCAUCUGCGUGACUCUUUUAGUCUUCUUUUCUUCUCUGUAGAUUUGGAUUCUGUGACUUAUUAAGGCCCAGUUAUUCCAUCCAUUAUUGAAGUACUUAAUGAACCACCCCUCGAGGCUGCCAGGCUGGUCUCGACCCUGUCAUCGUCACUGUCAUUGUCAAGGUUGUCACUGUUUGGGUAAUUAAGUCCCUCGCAGGACUCCAAAAGUUGUCGGCUUUUGGAGUUACUGUGAGUAUUAGAUUUAUCUAUCAAAAUUUUACUUUCGUAAGAAAAUUUGGGAAAAAAAAAGAUUGCUAUUUUUUAAAAUUUUUAUGAAAUAAUGUAUUAUAUUAAUUUGGUACGUGUGAGAUAGAAAAUAAUUGUAAAGUAUAUUUAUAAAAACGUUAAAAUUUUUCCUUAAGAAUAGCCAUCCUAGAGUUUGGUCAUUUUUUUAGGUAGUUAUUAACCGUGAGCGUCCACUUUUUGAUGUUAAAUUUUUUAGGCAACUUAGGUAAUGCUAAAAGUGCCAUUCUUACCGGACAAUCGACUUUCCUUAUUUAUCCUACUCACUUCUCCUUAUUUCUCUUUAAUUACUGAUAGGGAUAUAAUUAUGCAUUUUAUUUGUGGUUAUUUGGUCUUUUGGCAGUAUAGUAUGCAAAGUAUUGGAUUUCUGCUCAUAAUUAGUAUUGGUGUUAAUUACAGGCAAUUAGUGUUGAAAGUGACAAAAGGGAGGCAAAAAUCCAGAAGACUCUUGCUUUUCUGGCGUGCCCACGCCAGACGACACAGAGUUGCGUGAAAAAGCCGGAUCGCGGGCCAAGCCCUGGAACAACUAUUCUGAUUGGAAGAUACCUUUUUACCAUGCGUGAGAUCAGGAAACCUUAAAAGCAAGAAGUCUUUUGACAACAAACAACUAAGAAAGUAAGAAAAAGGAAUCCUUUUGGGAAACACAGGAGAAUUGGAAACCAAUUAGAAUUGGAAAGCAAGUGCUGCGAAGACCUUUAAGUAGCAGAGGAAAUAGAAUUCGAAGAGGACUUUUGGCAACAAUCCAAUGAGGGAAAUAAGGAAACAAUCCUUGUGGAAACAAAUUCCAAUUCAACAAGCAAAGGGAAGCGGCGGCAACACUAUAAAUAAAAAGGCAGCAAUAGACUAGGGCAUCUUCUGUCUUGGACUUGUCUCUUUGUUUUUUCUUCUUUUUCUUUUUGAACGCAAGUAGCAAAUAGCAGCAGCCGACAUUUUUACUACUUUCUCAAUCGACCAAAAACUCCAUGAAAACUCUGAAUUGCUUCAUGAUUAUGCGGCAAGGCUAGUUCUUUUAUCUAGUUGAGGAAUAAAUUCAAUUGAAGCACCAUAACUGUGAGAUCGUUUUAAUUGUUUUUUUUUAAUUUAUAUGUUAAUGGGUAUUUGAUUAUUCUCUAUUUUUCCUGAGUUAUUAUUGUUUAGAUUUAUUGGAUAAUUAGGCCUGUUAUUCGAUUGUCUAAAUAAUUGAUAGCCAAUUAGGAUGUUGGCGCGUAGCCUUUAAACAUCUUGAUUAGUGGCAACGAGACAACUUCACCGCUUCGCAAGCGGUCUAAUUUGGAUCGUGGGGAUAAUUAAUCUAGCCUAAAUAAACCCGCAUGUGUGUUUGUCAUCUAGAAUUGGGUCUUUCUAAUUCCUAAUGCCGUGACUACAUUAGAUCCUGUGAGCGUUUCUGGGGUUGUCUAGUCACAAUAGGGUAGUUUAUGAGCGUCUCUUGACUAUCAUAAAAUUAAGGAAAGAUGGUGGUUGGGCGCGUCGCUUGACCACUAUAACCAGUUUAUUCGUGAGUAUAUGAAUUGUCCCGUGUAUCUGUGAUCAGUUGUGUGCUUCGGUGCCAAGAUUAAUUCCUUGACUAGAUUGUUUAAUUAAUUGUUAUUUGUGUAGUUUGGUUCCUGCUAUCUUAAUCAACUUUAAAUUUCAGUUUUUAUUCCUUUUUAAUUAGUUGGUACUACUGCUAAAAUUCCCCCAUUUUCCUGUGUGAUUUGCCUACUUGUUCCCUGUGGAGACGACCCUAUUCACCACUAUACUCAUUCAGUUUUGAUAGUAGGUUUAAUAUAAUUUUAUUUUUGGUGGUUUGACAUCCACCAAUUACCUUGAAUAAUAAUCUGCUAACGAUAUUUAUACAUUUUCCUUCUAACAAUGUACACAUAUAAAGUAUGUCAAAGUACUAGGAUAAUUAAGAAAGUAACAUCAUAUAGAAAAUAGAUCAAAUAUAGGUCCCGUUUGGCAAGUGAGUUUUUGGAAAUUGAUAUUCGCACUCUCCAUUUAACCUCUGUCACUCAAAUUUACUCGCUAAAAAUAUAGCCUUCAGGGAGCGUCGGAAACUAAUUGAUGAGCGCAAAUAACACUUGCCUUUAUUUUUGUUGCCACUUUUGCGAACAUAUCGUAUAUCAUUGUAGUUUAUGGAUUUGAAUCUCACAAGUUUGAAUUGUUAUCCAAUUUAAAUUGGUUAUAUUAUUCUUACUUGUAACUUGUACAACUAAGUUUAUGUAAAAAUGUAACUUAUACAAUUAAGUUUAUGUAAAUGUAAAAAUUACUAUUACACCAAAAUUACACAAAAUUACUAUUCACUGCUCUGGCACACUUUUAAAUUUUUUUAUUAUAAGUUGCGAGAUUUGAAGGCCUAAUCUACAGUUCAAAGAGGGAUUUUAAAUCCUUUUUGGUGGCCAAUUUGCAUAACACGAAUUGGUGGUUUAGUAACUAAAGUUUUGUUAAAGUUCAAGCACACUAAUCAUGUGCCAUAAAGGUCAUUCACUAGACAGGCCACAUCAGGCCCAAAAAGUUUGUCAGCUGAUUUAUUUAGAAUGUAUAAAUUUCAUUUCACAAACAUUAGUACUUAGUAGACAAUUUCUUUGCGCUAAUUAACUGUAUUUUUGGGUAAACUAAUUAACUGUUCGUAUGUGCAAAUAGUGAUGUUUCAUAACUCAUUUGACACAUUUAUCUCUGAUAGUAAGAGGUAUGAAAUCAUUUAUUAGUCCCAUUUGAUAGCUGAAUUAGUAACACAUGCAUGCGUGAAGAACUCCUAUUUGAUUUUUUUUUUUUUAAAAAACCCUAAAAACUUGGAAUAAAUGGUAAACGGAAGAGAAAAAUGCAAAGUAUGUGAAUUAGGUUGAAAUCCAAUAUUACAGCAGAAAGACUUGAAUUAGGGCAACUGGCAAAUCGGCCAUUUUCGUUAUAGAUGUCAAUAGACGAAUGGAAUCGUAGAAGAUAUGUGUACUACUUAAGGUCGUCAGUGUAGCCUGAAAGUCAGCGUACCUUUUGGGUUUGGUUAUGGAUUUCCCUUAGAUAUAGUGUGUGUGAAUUUAUUUGCGGUUGUUGGUGAAUGGAAUCGUAGAAAUAAUAAAAAAACAUCCAGCUUGCAGCUCCCAUAUGGACCAUCAGAACAAGCAUUUUAUUUCUUCUUUAUCACCGACACUGGACCGACCUUGUUACCCGAAAAUGAAAGAGAGUGAAUACUUGCAUGGUUCUUGCAGUUAUAAUAAUUCUCCACCAAAUUAACCACUAAUCAAGGAGCUUUUCAUCAAGGAAUCUCAUUCACCAUACAACAAACAUUCUUAUUCGCUCGUCAACUGUAAAUUUAAUACGACUAAAUUAUUGUUUUUUUGUUUCCAGUUGUAACUUAAUAUAACUAAAUUACUUUUUUUUUUUAUUUCAAAUUGUAAUUUAAUAUGACUAAAUUACUUGUUUGAUUUUCCAAACCUAAGAGAUAUUAAUUACACAGCCACGAAUUACUAUUUGUUUUUUGUUUUCUUCUACCAAUAAAUUAUGGGGAUAUUGAGCUCCUAUUCUAUACACACUCUGGGUGGCUUUCUAAAAUCUCAGUCAUAGAGAGAGAGGGAGGGGCAGGAUUUUAAGUUCUUGUGCGUAACUUUAAUAUCUCAGGCCAUUGAGAGUAAGAAUUUAAAUUCGGAUGCGUUUGAAAUUAAUAUCAAAAUCAAAAAGCUUAGGAUGCUAGAGGAGGAGGAGAAUAGGACUUAUUAGAGAGACUUAAAGACCCCCCCACCCCCACCCCCACCCCAAAAAAAAAACCUAAUUGUCUCACCCAUUUUACACUAAUACUACAAAAUAAAUUAAAUUAGGACAAUGACUCGAUACCACGACUGCGGAAGAGCAUCUAACCAAACUUACCUCGAAUGUACGUACCGGCUGUGAAUCCUCCAUCGACGUAAAUAACCUGCCCAGUAAUAUAUGAGGCGGCAGGAAGGCAAAGGAACGCCACUAGCGGUGAAAUCUCAUCAGCUUCUGCAAAUUGACGGAGAGGAGUUCGACUCAGCAAUGGGGGUACUUACCCGCCAGAGAUUGAUCAAGCUCCUCCUGGAAAAGAAAUCAAAGACUUUUAAGCAAGUGCUAUUCGAGGAAUAGUAGGCAUUUUUCUCACCACCGCCCCCUCCCCCAACACACCCUCCAAGUUCGCUGCAAGUUUAUCGAUGAAGAAAUUUGUGGAUAAUAUCCUACUUGUUUCAUAAGUGUGGUUCGAACAGCCCACGGUGCAACAGUGUUGACACGAAUAUUAUCCUUUGCCCAUUCACACGCCAAAUUCUUGACACGCCAAAUCCUUUGGUCGCUGCAUAUAUUGAAACCCCCGGCAGUGCCGUCCGACCAUCCACGGAGGAGAUAAAUACGAUAUUUCCAGUUUCUGACGCUUUUAGCAGAGGGUAUGCUAGUUGGCUCCGAUGAAAAGGUGACUCGACAUUUAUACCCAUAAAAAAUGAGUGAUCUUCCCAAGUAGAGUUUUCAGCUCGUUUCACCAUGACGCUUGCAGCAUUGUUAACCUGAGCGUAAAACUCCCAAAAAUGAAUUCCAUCCCAAAUUUGGACUAUGUUAGCUGUCUGUAUGAGACAGACGCAUGCAUGCAGGACAGAAAUAAAUAAACUUCAACGCGAUUGUCUUUACAGAUGUAAGCUAAGCAGCUUGAUUUAAUUGGUACAAGCUGCAACAUAAGACCUCAGCCAAACCAAAUUAAGUCCCGCUGAAAGAUAAAGAUGGAAACAUUUGAAUGCUACCGUCAUCCUCAGGAAAUUAUUGUUAAAAGUGCAAUAUCGACCUGACUACUUCGUAAAACAGGCUACAGCAGAAUCGCUAGCUGGUGAUAGCAUGAAAUGCAAAAGGGCAAUAUUUAAGAUAACAAGUUCUCUUACGAGUGUUUUCCUUUUGCUUGCGAUGUCAUUUUGCAUGGUAUCCAAAGUAUUAGGGGGUGUUUGCUAAGUGGAUUUCAUACCAAGAAAUAUGUUUCAAGAGUAAUCAUAAUAGUAAUAAUACUUAUAGUUUGGUUGGGGAAGAAAAAUGAGAAACAAAAAGAAAAAAAAAUAGAAAAACCAUACGUGAAUUCUAGUUAUCAAACGCUCUAAAAGUUUCAACAAAAACCCGUUAUUAUUAACUAAUUAUUUAUGAUUACCAUAGAGUCAUAGUAAUUGUGAUCGAUGAAUUUUUACCAAACAGCUCCUAAAUCUUUUGUCUUCGUCAUCCAGAUGGAUGGAUCAACUUAGGACAAUGAUAUUAUUGAAUUCGAUGUCUUCUUGAUUAUCUUACUCAGAAUUUCACUUUUCUUGUUGGUUAUCAAGCGCAAAGACCACAUCAACAAUAAACAUCCAACUUUUCCUACUCACCUGCAUUUAUUGACCUGGAUUCUCUCAAAUGAUAUGAUGAUUCGAGUAUAUAACUACUAAAUUAAAUAAAGAGGUAGCUUAGCCUUUUAUCCAAACAUACAGCUAAAUAUAGGUGAGUGGGAAAAGUUGGAUCAUUAUCAUUGACCAUAUGACUACUAAAUAUAGGUGAGUAUACAACUACUAAAUUAAAUAAAGAGGUAGAUGAGCCCUUUGUCCAAACACACAGUUAUAGGUGGCAAAUCAACUCAUUUAAUUAAAUUUAUCCAUACCUACCUAUGAAUAGAUGGGUAUGAGUAUCUUAAAUUUUUACAUAUGGUAUAAAUGGGUUACCUAAUUAAAUGGGUAUUAUUGGGUAACCCAUCAAAUCUAAUUAACCCAUUUAAAAUUAUUUUUCCCCAAAUCAUCUCUCUUCCCCCGCCCAUUUUUUUUUCAGAUUUUUCAUUUUGUUAUGAUGUUAACUACUUUUGUUUCAUUAUUAUUAUUAUUAUUAUUUGUUGGUUUUAUUUUAUCAUUUUAUUUUCUCUUAAUUUGUUAACUUACUCAUUUUUUAGCAUUACCAAUUUAUGAUAAGCUUUAGCCUCUUUUCCUACAUUUCCAAAAUGAAAUUUUAAAUUUACACAUGAAAAAAUAUUAAGGGUUCAAAAUUUUUGGAUUAAGUUUUUAUGUUAAUUUUUAUAGUACUUAAUUAAAAUUUUUAUAUUCAAUUAUUAAAUAGUAUGUAAUUUUACGACAUAGAGUACGAAUAGGAAAAAAAUUGAUAAUUAGACUUAUUGAAUAUUAUAAGUAAAUAUUUAAAACUAAUGAUGGGUGUAAAGAGCAGUAUAUAAUUGAUAACUUAGUUUGCAAAAAUGAAUUUAAAUGAAUUUACAAAAAGUUAAAAUAAAUGGGUUAUAAAUAGGUAAUUGGGUUAUCUAAUUUAUUUUUUGACAUACCUAUUUAGACCCAUUUAAUUAGAUGGGUAUAAAUGGGUUGACUCACUUAUACACAUUACCCAUUUUACCCAACCCAAACCCGUCCAAGUCACCCAUUUUGACACUUCUACAUACAAUAAUAAAUGAUAUUAUUAGUUAUAUGUAUUAUAUAAUGUAUAUUAGUAUAUUUAAUAUAAUUGAUAUUAUCAAUUAUACUAAUAAUUAUAUGUCUACUAAUAUAAAUUAUUAAUUAGUUAUACUAAAUUUACUAAUAUAUUUAUACUAAAUCUCUAAUUACACUUAAUACAAUAACAUUUUUUUUCCAAAAAAAAAAAAACACAAGCACAAUAAUGAAUUAAUGAUUGUAUUUCUGUUAAAAGUGAAAACUUGACUACUUUACUUGUAUUUAUUUCAUUCAUAUUGGAUUGUAUUCAUAAUUUUGUUUGAUUGUUUUUUAAGUUUCAAUUGUGAAAUUAUAAUGAAUAAUAAUUUGGUGAUAUGUUGAUUUUUUAGUACUUGAUUAUUUGUUAAAAUUUAAUUAUAAUAAAUUAUGUAACAAAUUUUUAUGCGGUACAGGGCGAGGACGGGGGAAUUUGUAGGCACCGGAGCAAGGGGCGGGAACCCCUCCCCCGCCCCAACUCCGCCCCAUUGCCAUCCUCAUGCUUCACCUUUUCACACAUGUAAAGUCAAAAAGUUUCCAUACAUUCACCUUUGCAAUGUGAACAAAGCAAUAUUUAUCUAUAUUCAGUUCACAUGGUCAACAAAUUGAACGAGGGACAAAAUUUCUACAUCUUUCAUUAACAUAUUCUGAAAAGUUAUUUUUUUGUUAACAAAUUGUUUGGAAAGCUAUUUUUUAUUAAAAUUUCUACAUUUUUUAUGAAUAUGUUUUUAAAUUAUUUUUUUAUCACAUAUAUUAAUUGGUUACAUUACAUUUUUUUACAAAAACUCCAGAAAAUUACAAUCCAAAUAGGACCUAAAUGUUGAUUACUUGCAUGUCGAAAUGUCGAUGUUGUUGUCCUAUAGGGCCUCUACGGGACCUCCAGCCCUGUUAGACAACUACGGUUCCAAGUCGGUUUAGAUUAGAUUAAAGUAUUAAACUUCUACACUUCGGAUCCCUACCGCAAACCGACUGGCGUUAAUUUUGGUCCUUUUGGAUCUGUUCAUUUGGAAGAGGGUCUUGCUUGGGCCCAUUAUUUUGAACAUCAAUUGUGUAUGAGUAACUUUAGCAGGCCACGUUACAAUCUGGGUUUCCUGAAGAACAUUGGAGCUUUAUGGGCACUUAAUCAAAAGCUAAUCAAGAAAUUUGGAAUUCUCAGAACCUUCUCAUCUGCACUUUUUUUUUUUUUCAAAGUUCAAAAGUAAGAUUUGGAACCUCAUAAGGGGAAAAGGAAAAGUCUUGACAGUCAAAUCAAAGAUCUCAAGUACACUCGUUCAGUUCUUUCUCAUCCACUUUUGAAGAGAGUUGUUUCUUGAACUAAUUUGGAAUUCCAUUGGUAUGCGAAAAAGUUCUUUUAACACCUUUGGAAACUGUUAGGCGUCCGGUUGGAUCCAUGGUUCAAACUGCCGUGCCGGCAGCUAAAUUUGAAUGGAAUGUAAACAAUUAAGCAACAAAAAAAGGAUUACCAUGAAUUAAGUGUUUGUAUCUUGUUUGCGAACUCAUGUUUUUGUAUUUUCAGUGAGUAACUUAUUGAAUUAUAAUGAUUUUUUUGAACUGGUAUGACAUAUUUAUAUUCUGCUUCAUCCGUCUUACUUUGAUAGAUUUGUUUUUAUUUUUCAUAUGUUCUAAAUUAUAGUCCACUUCUCAAUUGAAAAAUAUAGUUAACUUGUAGUUUUUCUAAAAUGCUCUUAUUUAAUGUAAAUCGUUAUUGAAUAUAGCAUAGCUCAUUUAAUGUAUAGGUAAUUAGUCAUACUCCAUUUAUUUAGGAAGAUAGUAAACAAGAUUUAUUCUUCCAACAAAAUUAACUAACUUUUUUUAAACUGUGUGGAAAAAAAAUUAAAUCUAUCAAGUGGGACGGAAGGAGUAUUUAACUUAAUAUGUGAAUGAACACAAUUAUGAUUAUUGCGUCUUCUGCAUUGAAACAUUUUUUUCAAAUCAGUUACACUUUUUUCACCAAAAAAAAAAAAAAUAAUGCCUGGAACCCUCUUAUCAAAAGAGAAGUGAACGUCUGUAGUCAUAAGUUUAGGUAAAACAAAGUAGGCGGAACCGUACGUGGAAGGAGUCCUUGUGUUAACCUCUGACUAAUUCCCCUGCACUGCAUUCAUUCCCUCUUCACUUUUCCAAAAACUGUGUAAACACCCUUCUAGACAACGGCAAAAAAAUAUUACUACCAGAUAACACGGUACAAGUUGUCUCGCCUCCUUUUCGUGUUAGUUAACUUCAGGCAAGAAGAAGUUUUUUUUAAAAAAAAUUUUUUAGAUCAAUCACUGCAAGCAAAUUAGGCAGACCGUCACUCUCUCUGUCUCUUUCAGUCUCAAACAUAGUGUAAUACAUAUACCCAUUGAUUGUAUCCAACACAAUGAGAGAGAUGUUUAACCAAAUACAUUUGAUAUAUAUUCUUGAUUUCAUGUGAACCAAUGGACCUGCAUGUGGGAAUAGACUUGUAUAGUCUUUAGAUUAGACCACCCUGAAAAUUCCAACCCAGUCAAAGGGCAGAACCAUCCAGUCUUCAUAAACAAAUAUACGCUGGCGGAACAAAGAGAAUUACUCCAAAUUCUGAAAGAUGGCUUCUUUGUAGUCUCUCUCUCUCUCUCUCUCUCUCUCUAGCUUAGCCAUGUCAAUUGUCAACUGCGCGGCUGCUUCUCCCGAAACUUCAGCAGUCUCUCUCUGCAGCUCUUGCAGUGUAAUUUACUUCCUCCAUCAAAUUUCUAAAAAGUUUUGCUCCUUUUAGUUUUAAUUCCAUUAGGUAUUUUUAAAAAUUUCCCUUUUACUAGAACAAAAUUCUACCAUAAAAUAUCAAGCCAUGAAGAUAGAAAUAUGUAAGCUAUAUACGUGGAGUGAAAAUUUGUCACUCCUUGGUUCAGAACUUGGGAUUUCGAUCCAAUUGCAAGAUAUGCUCAGAUGAUUAUGGAGACGCAUAACUUCCACUCUGCUCAUCAAAUUGUGAUCGUUCCCGUAAUCUUUGUUGACCCUUUAUUCUUUUGUUGAAGUUGGAUUUCUAUGAAAUUGAAAACCCUUUGUUCCUUUCCCUCAAGGGGUUCAAAAAUCAAGACCAAAAAAAAAAAAAAAGAUCUAAAAUUCGGUCUCUGCCGUGGUCAAUGCGGAUGCUUGUACAUAUAUAUAUAUAUAUAUAUAUAUUUACCUCUUUGUGGCUGUAAUUCUAAGUCAUCUAUUUGGCGGUGAAAUAAUAAUAAUUUUAGUCACCGCAAUACUAAUCCUAACUAUUUUUUUAAGGCAAAGAGAUGGAUACGCAAUAUUAAUACGCCAAACAAUGUGGAGACCCCACUUUCUCCUUUGUGUGUGUGUGUGUGUGUUUUUUUUUUUUUUUCUUUUAAAAAAAAGGGGGAGGCCUUUUGUCCUUGCUAGCCAAGGAUUAAAGAAAAUACCAACACUAACAACUUGCCAACAAAUUAAUCCGGUCAGGUAUCCUAAAUCGUACCAAAUUAGAAAUACUACCACCAUAUAUUGUACAACCUUAUUUUAUUUAAAAUUUGACAAGAAAGCUGAAUGUUAUUUUCAGGGUUCAGUACCUUGACUCACAAUAGUGAUUGACUGUUAGCUUGCUGGAAACUAACCAUCAAUUCACUAACAUUUAAAUUUUUUAUUUUUAGUGGAACGUUGUAAAAAAAAUUCGUGGACUCUACAGAUUAAUUAGAGGAUGCUUUAUUAAUCUUAAGCGACUCCUAUCAACCGUGUCACCUCAGAGACAAAUGUUUAAUCAGCCACGCCUGCCCCUCCACAUUCAAAUUUCUUAGCCUCUUGGCCUUUUUCUAUUACCACUACUUUCUCCCACUCUCGGAUUUCUUGCUAAUUUUUCUAUUGUACUACCUUUUACAGGAAACAAGGACCAAAACUAGGAAUUGCCUUUUUCAAAAAUAAAAACCAUUCAAGUUGAGAAAGAGGACGUGCAUGCAUGCGAAUUAAGUAGAAUCUCUUGAAUAAAGACGAUGGAUAGUAGUAUAAUAUAUCAAAGAUAAUUAUCAUAUCUCUCAUAUUCUUCUGGAAGUCAUGAAGGAUUUGACUACUGCUCAUGCUGAAGUUCGAUCCGUCUACUUGAAGUAAUAGAAUAUUUUCAACAAAGAAAUAAAGGGCUAAGUAAGGUAUAUUUAAAAUAUCUUUUUGUCGGCCCAAACUGGUAAAUGUACUGACUUCCCGUUCAAGAAUAUUGUGUCACAACAAUUUUGUAACACGGCUCUGGUGAAGAUCGAUGAAGUGAUAGAUUCUAAAUUUUAAUGUUUUAAGUGGUAUUUAUCAUGGGCCUUUUAUUUGUUUGAUCAAAAUUUGUAAAGAUGCUAUUUUACUGAAUUCUUUUGCAAAAUGAACAAUUCUUUUUGUCCAAUUACGAGGGCAUGAAAGGAAAGGUCGCUAAGGAGCCAAGCAAAACAAAAUAACUGAGCUAAUUAAUCCCUGACAUUUUUGUUUAAGCAGUUCUGACAUCUACAAGUGUUUGUGCUCAUAUUAAAUAAGAGAUGGGGUACCUCCACGACUUGUCGCAGUUGCACUACCUUUUCCCUUUGAAUCUAUUUUAUCUGUUCUGUUGCUCUGUAUUACACAGUCUACGAACAUUCUUGGUGGCACUCUUUAGGUAAAUCCUAGCUACUUCAUGAAAUUUCUUUUUCACUAAUUUCUAUUCUCAGAAAUACAUAUGGUGUCGAUAUCAAAGGUCUUUGGUGGAGCAGAUCAUGACAACUAGAUGCUAAAUAAUCAAGCUAUCAAAAUAACGACACGACAAUUAGCAUGCCAUUUUACCAAAAAAAAAGAAACCAAGUGUAAAUUUGAUGAUACUAGCAAACAUGCCUAAAGUCCAAAACGCAAAAGCUCUUGUUUGUCAGCCUUCUUUUGCCUUAUUUGAUGUCGGAGAAUAAUUUCAUUUUGAAUGAAAGACGGAGAACCUUUUUCUCCGGAGCAAACAUAUGCAAGGAGAACAAGGAUUUAAGCGUAAUUUACAAGGUAUAAAUCUCCAAGUUUUAGACAAUAAAAAAUCCUGAAAGGCAUAAACUCCCUAGUACGUCAAAACAUCUGCCCUGAAAUUCACUUCACAAGCUUUAGCGACAACACCAGCAAAGGUGUCCGUCCCUCAAGCAGUGGCAUUGGUAAUCACCAUUUAACAUGGUCAGGUAAAGCCAAAACAUCGUUUUUUUUUUCUUGGUUUUUUUUUGGGGCCCCCGGGGGGGGGGGGGGGGUUGUGAUUCCUUAUUAUCUAGCUAAUAGAAUAAUGAAUCAAACUCUCCCCAUCGGAAGAAAUAAUAGAUGCUUUCAGGUCAAGCUAAUAGGACACUUGCUUACAUGACUGUCCGGUUUUGUUUUCUUUCCCGUCGACAGUAAUACAAAGUGCGCUUGCUGGCUUCUCUAACCAAAACAAUAAUGAUUUAACAAACAAAUAUCACAUCCUAUCAGCUUAAAAUCUGCAUCACCAACAUUGCCCUGGAACAGGUUGGCUUCAAAUCCCCUGGUCAGACAAAUUACUUAUCGCGUGUAAUACAAGUGACACACUUGAGACAUAUACAUAUAUGCCUUGCGUUAUCUGCAAGGUAAACCACCAGGGCAUUUACUUGUGUACCACAAGCUGAUUGUUAAUUAUUUCCUUUUUCUCUUUUGUCUAAUUUACUAGUUUUUUCGGGGGUCGGGGAUCGAUGUUUUUGGUUAUUAACAACUUGACCAUCAUACACUUUAUUUUUCCUAAUAAAAAUGAUGGAACUCUGCAUAUUGGGUACAAGAGGAGAAUAUAGGCUAUAUAUUGUAAUUUUAUUCAAAGUCACCUCAUCUAAACCCAAUCAUCUUUACGAAUCAUAGAUUACCCAAAGAUGACUUCAAUUUUGGGAUGGAGGAAUAUGUUAUGCUCAGCACCAUUAAAAUUUUUCUUCUAAAUAAAAAGACUCAGAUAGACUUAAUUAAUAUGUCAAAAACUACGUAGAAAAAUUUGUGUCUCAUUCCUUGGAUCCAAAUUAACAAAAUAAAAAGUGACAUUUACAAUCAGACUUAUCGUUUCAACAAAAAAAAAAAGACAACGGGCAUAGGGUAAGUAAUUGCAGAAGAGAUUUAUUGAACGAAUCUUAGAAGUAGUCAUUGAUGGAGAUGUUGUCUGUGGCCAAAGAACUGUAUGUGCACUAUGGUAUUUUUCAGAAAAUAUACACUAUAAACCAAGCUGCACAUAUAAUAUAUGAAGUGUUAAAAAAAAAACGAAGCACAUAGAAAUAGCAAACAAGAUGUUUUUUCUUAAAUAACAUCUGGUUUAUAGGGGAUAAUAGACAAGAAAAUGUCACAUAAUUUGGUGAUUUUUUUUAUUAGAUCUAUGAAACAUAUUUUAGUGAUAACAAGUUCAAAUUUGCAACCAAUUGAACUCCUGUAGAAAACCAGAAAUACUUUAUAAUGUCUUCUAAAAAUCGUAUUCCAAAGAACUAGUGACAUAUUUUUGACAUAAAUAAAUUUAGGUGAUGUAAAAUUUUAAUUCACUUAGAUAUGCUGAUGUUUAUUAUAAGUAUAAUCCAGGGUUUUUUUUAAAAAAAAAAAAAUUUUUUGGCAAGCAUAAUCCAGGUAUGUAAUGAUUUAACUCAAGAAAUGCCAGAAAGGCGGUCCGAUAUAUGAAAAAAGUGCUACUCCCCAAAUUCUAAUGGUCUUAUUCAAAGUUAAAAAGAGUAAGACUUGCUACUCUUACGUUAACAUGGGAAUUAUGAGUUAAUAUCUCAGCGUCCGCUGGGUUGGUUAAGCUCCUCAUCAUGCCUAUACCUUUUGGGAAAUCAUUAAUAUUUUUGUUCCAUGAGCAAUGUCCUAAGCUAAAGGAACAAAACGACUCACUUUCUGGAACAUUUUUAAUUAGCUCAAGAACUCGUAAAUUGCUGCGAAGCUGGAAGCCCUUAUACGUACGUUACGUGUGAUGGUUCCUGUUUCACCAACUAGGGUUUGUCGCCAAGCAGCUUAUUUUAUUGUAACGUUUCUGACAGAGUUCACCAUAUAAAGAGUUGCUGUGUUUCUCAAACAAGCUUAGUAAAUAGUAAUUGACAUCUUUAAUGUUGGGGAAAAAUGUUGGUGCAUCUGUUGUACCGUAUUUUAUUUUAUUUUUUUAAGUGCAGCAACUCAAUUAAUUAGCAACAUUAGUUAACUAAUAGGAUGGAACUAAAGUUUGACCAUAUCCGUAAACCCUAAUGGUGUGUGGGUUUUGAUAUCCUUACAUCAAUUUCAUAAAAAGUUUAGCUGUCGUUUGGAAAAUUGUUGCUAUCAAUGUCUAAAUUUGGAAAACCUUAUAAAACCGGUAAUGAAAAAACUCAAACGCAAGCAAUUACAUCUGUGGAUCGAAUCCAAACUUCUGCUGUUAAUCCUUUGUAACAGCUAUUUGGUCAUUAGUGAGGAAUCUGGUUUUUAUGCAGUAUUUCUCGGUUAAUUCCCUGUCUGAAACAGGAUUCCUGUGACAAAUAAGAAUUCUCUUGGUUACGAACUCGAAUAGAAGCUGCACAAUCAACGCUAAUGCAACUCUGUUUAUUCCAAAUGGAUGCUUCUAUUGGUGCUCCGUCUCGGUCGGGCCUCUUAAAUUCGAUACCACAAAAGUUUCUUGACGAAGGCACUGCCCUCUUUUCUCUAUGAGAGCAACAACAAUCGUUCAGAAAACCUUAUCUAAGAGAAUGGUUCGCGGUUAAUACAAUUUGAGCUAAAAAAUUUCAUCCCAGAAUUCUCUGAAAAUGUUAGGACAUCUAAUUUAUUAUUUUUGGCGGAAAGAGCGAAAGAGCAAAAACUUUUAGGUAAGCACUAAUUAAAUGGUGAGAUAUUAGGUUUUUUUUUUUUUUUUUUGUCAUUUUGAGCUUUAUAAGAUGGAUUUUAUCCUCGAAUCGACUGAUUGGUAUCCGACCACUUAGAUGAAAGGUGAAUACAUAAGGAAAUAGAGAUGAGCUUUUCAAAUUGCAGCUCAAAAUUAAGCAGCCAAAUAUACUGUAUAUGUGCAUUCAGAGAUUGCUUCUUUGGCUUACAUAUGCUUUUCUUGUCUUGCAUUAUUUGGAUAUCAUUAGACCCUCAUCUUCCCGGGGCGCACUUGGAUAUUUGGCAUGUAUAGGAAUUAAAUCUCUAGAAACACAUGAGACUCGCGACUUCGCUACAGCUACUUUGGCUUUACGCGAGAAAUUGGAAUCACAUUAGUGAUGAGUUGAUCCCAGACAGAUAUUCUUCAGUUCUAGGAUUGUUUAGGAUUAUGCAUCUGUAUUCUGCAAAUGAGUCAACAUUCAAUUACCGCUUGCUGAAAAGCUCACUUGGUAAAAUUUGAAGAUAAAACUUAGCUUCACAUAUAUCAGGACAUAGGGUGACAAAAUGCAAAAUUGACUUGAUGAAGCCACGAAGAUAACAACCAACAAUUACGGUAGUUUUCUACCCUUGUUUUUUCUCCUGGAACUCGCAUAUAAACAAUUCAAUCAGUGAAAUCAGAUGAUCUCAGUUACCAUGUAACUCGCGGGAGACGGGAUUAUUAGCUAGGACCCACUCUAUUAAUUUGUCUAAACCUCGUUUCCACCUUGAGGAGAGAUUGCAGAAUGAAUAUAAAUGAGGCUACAGUAAUUGUGUCCCGGUGGCCAACUAAAAACCAAAAGAGUAGCUGCAUGAAACUGCCAAACUAGACCACCCACCACUCUACCUUCCAUCUCUAACAUUGCAAAGUUCUUUCAUUAUUUGAGCUAAUCUGCUUCUCACAGAUACUCAUGUAACUUUCAGUUAUUCUUAUCCCGGAUCGAUCGACGUCAAUUUUCAGCUCACUCUUUAUGCCCGAAGCUGGUAGAUUUGAAUUAGGGUCGUACAUAUUUUUGAUGGAGCAAGCACGAUAUUGGAUGUGGACAAAGAGGAAACAUGAUUUCGGUUCACAUGUAUUUCAGCAUCAUUACCGAAUCCCAGCUCGUAUGUGAAUCAUGGGAAGAGCAAGCUUUUGCCGAAGAUGCAGCUGGAGGGCUCGGAGGUUGCACAUGGCCUCCAAGAUCUUACACUUGUAGUUUUUGCAGGAGAGAAUUCAAGUCAGCUCAGGCUCUAGGGGGUCACAUGAAUGUCCACCGCAGAGAUAGGGCUAGGUUAAAGCAGUCUCCAACUCCACAUAUGGAAGUUCUUUCCCGCAAUCACCAGAUUCUGAACCCCUGUGCAUCUUUGGAUUCACCUCAGAUAUGUACUUUCUUGUACAGCCAUGAUUCUAAUGACUCUGAUCAUCGAGUUGUUCUUGCAUCACCUUCAUCGCCUAUUAGGGUUUCAUCAUCUUCACCACCGCCAAAGAUCAUGGAUUGUGAAGAAAAGAUAUUGGGCGCCCCUCAAUUCUUUUCUACUAUCGUCGAUGAAAGUUACCAAAAGAGUAACCUGUCGUCUCCUCAAUCCUGGUCAAACUUGGUUGCAGACAAAUAUUUCCAUGUCCCAGAUUCGAAGAAUGGAGACAAGGGUUCCAAAACGGUUAAGUCAAAUGGUAGGGCUAAUGGAGAACAUGUCAAAGCCGAUUUGUCUGCGAGCUUGAAUUUGCUACUUUGUCGAACCCGUUCAAAUACAUCUGAUGACGCUGAAAACUUUCACACCUAUAAGAGACGGAAAAUGGAUGAAACUUCAGUCACUUUGUUGCCAACAUCAACUCUUGCUGAUAAAAAUGUCUUCUUCAGUCAAAUUUGCCGCCUAAAAUGAGCCCCAACUCCAAGACGAAUUAGAUCUUGAGCUGAGGCUUGGCGAUCCACCAAAGGUGAAGUAAGACUUGGAAUUCUUUUUCGUUAUAGCAUAUGCAUAGAUUCUAUUCCAUUUUCAUAUUGCUCUGAUGUAUCAUGUUUCUUCCUUUCUCUUUGCGCAAGUAUGGUAUUCUAAUUAAUUUCUCUUCUGGCAAUUUACCGGGUGUAAUUGUCACUAUAUCAGCAGAUUAUAAGUUUCCAUCUUGUUUUCCGUUUUCGUUUUUACGAUCUCAUAAAUAUGAGAGGGAGGAUGUUUGUUUGCCAUCUCGUGCAAUUCAGGCUUGAUCUGGUUCACUAAAUAUGAUGUAAUGAUUGCAGUGCUUGAAUUCAUCGGCCAUCACAAUGCUUAUACCUGUCAAGGGUCAUCGCUAUGCUUAUACCUGUCUAAGAAAUAGACAAAUAUCUUACCUGCAAGUAGAUUAGACUAAAACGUUAGAAGCCUUGGUGGAGUUUUGCAGCAGGAAGAUAGAAAGAGUCCUACGAGUACAGUAGAAAUUGGUAAUUUUUGAUGCGGGUUAUGCAAAGGCAAUGAGUUCAAUAUAAACUGUCAUGCCAUUUGCAGUCAAGUCAUGAUUCAUGAACAUGGAUUUUCAUCCUCAUAACCUAGUAGCAAGUUAAUAAAUAUGUGUGGAUUCUGGAGUCGAGAAAUGUCACAGAUACACAUAAGACCAGAAAAAGAGACAAAGAGGGAUCGUGCCGGUUGAUGAUACUAUUGAACUUCAUUUGGGAUUUUUACGUGGAACAAAUUAGCAUGUGUUGUGUAUAGAGUACUGACUAAAGCUGCACGGAAUGCAGCAAAGAGAGCACCUUUUUCCAUUGAGUACCUCACUGACAUUCUGUUUUACAUAACUAAACUAGUCUAGAAGACAGGCAAAGUUAGGUUUUCAAGGACACAUAAGUCAGAUACAACACAACAUGGAUUCCCUUUUCCUUUGGAUGUAUUAUUGUCAAUUAUUCAUCAUCAUCAGAUGAUCAGAUCAGUAGUUGCAGUUAAGUAUCUUCUCCGCAUAAAUCCAUACACUUGUGUUCUCUUCCCUCACUUUUCUCUCUUUCUCAAUCCUCCAAAAAUUGCCACCAACUACAAGGAAUCAAUCCAUUUAAGUAUUUAAACAAAUUCCCUUUUCUAUUCACUAAGGGAAUAUUAUUGCAUCAUCAGUCAUUGGCAUUAACAGCAUCGUCUUACACCUUAUCAGCAAGUAAGAAUAAAGAAUGAGAAUAAAGAAUGACCAAAGAAUGAGAAAUAAAGUACUAUAAACUGUGACCCCCUUAAACCAAACCCUAACCCUACCUAUAGUAUAUCAUAGCCCCUGCCUGCCUUUAUCAUAGAGUUUCCAGCCUCCUCACGGUGUCUAAGGCUCAAAUCAUUGUGUAUUAACUAGCCUAUUUAAUAUGUGCUAUCUAAGAGGAAAUCUGAUAGAGGAUUGGAUUGGGUUGGGUCGGGUGCAUUUUUUGAUAUGCUGGCCUGAAAUCCUGAGGAACCAUGUGCAAUCUGAAGGCAAUUUAAUUGAUAUCCUCAGACUAGGUUCUAAAUUAAUGCUAGAUGCAUUAACUACGUACAGUUCGAAAGCACGUUAUUAAUGAGUCCAAGGAUCUAUGAUCACUUUCCGAUGUGGGAGUUUCAUUUGUUAAUGGUAAGGGACAGAGAACGGUAUGUGUAAUGUGGCAAGAGGGGCUUGUAUGGUUAAUAGUACUAGUAUUACUAUGUUUUUCGAAGAAAACUCAAAUGUUUGUUUAAUGGGAGGUAAGGCGAUUGGCUAGGGUUUGUCUUGAUUAUGGUGUACAGAGUACUGGAGUUGGGCGGGUUUGAUAGUGAAGUAUAGUAGUAGAAAAUAGGAGUGCCAGAAAGUGCACAUGGAUUAUCAGGUGUCCGUUUCUGUGUUUUCCCUGUGAGUGAAUGGGGGAUUUAGUAAAAGGAAUGCCAGAUUAUUCCAAGCUAGCUAGUCUGUAUUUCUCUGUUUAGAGAAUUUUUGUAGUUCCGAGAUAUACAUUAAUUAUGAAGAUUUCAGAAAAUAAUGAUUCCGUGCUAAAUGUCUCUUUCUUCCCAAUUGCUAUAUCAAAAAAAAUUAACUAACUAAAACAAAACUAAAGUUGUGACAUUAAUUUAUAUUAUUCCUUUUUUUUUUGGGCAGAAGGCUAUUAAUUAGUGCAUGGAAACAGGGAGAGGGUUUUUCCCAGGAAAUCAGUGGCCAUAUACGAAUGGUCUCUCUGUGUUUGUGCAUGUGUGAAAUUUUGUGCACGACAUAUUAUUGAUAAAAUUAAAUUAUCAUCGUAAGAUCGGCUGAACCGAGAACUUUCCAUAUCCCUUUUUAAAUUUUUUUUUUUUGGGGUUUCGGUAAGCGGAGCUAUUAAUUUGCUAUAGCUAAUUAGCUGUUAAUCCAAUACCAUGACAUGUUAGGCAAUUGUGAGGUUUGAUAUUCUUUUGGGAUAAUUUUAGAAACCUCCCUAAAGUUUCUGACAAUUUCAUUGAGAUUCCCUGAGAUUUGAAAAAUUACACCUACUGCCCUUGAUUUAAUAGUUUUAUAAUCUAAAACUUAAAAUAAUAUUAACUUGGUCAAAUUUUUAAAUGAAUACCCACCCUUGUGUAAUGAGUUUUAAUUUAUUUUUCUACACAAUUAUAAUAAAUUAUAAAUAUAAGCAAAAGGUACCAAAUUUCAUGUCCAUACUUACUAUUUGAUAAAUAACUGUAAUAAUAAUUUUAUCACUAAAAUAGGAUACUUUUGAUGGUAUUUUAUUAUGGAUUUAGAUUUAUAAGAUAGAAAAAAAUGUUGAAAUAAUUCAUUUAGAAUUUAUGAAUUUUUCAAAUAGUAGAAUUAUCAUAAUUUAGUAGUGGUUUUGGGCCUUUUUUAUUUAUUAUUAAUUUUAAUACAAAAAAUAGAAAACAAAGAUCAACAAAAAUAUUGAUUACAUAUAAGUUGACUCAUAAAAAAAUCACUAGUUCGACAUUUAGUUACAAUAGAAACUAAAGGUCAUAAUGCUAAUUAUACAGUUUUAUUGGCAAAAAUUUUUUUUAAAAAGGAAUAAGAAGGAAAAGAAUGAAAAAAUAAUUUUAAAAGUCAUUUUAAAUAUAAACAUACUAAAUAAGGGAAUUUCAUUGAAAUAUUUAAGGGUAGUAUUAUCACUUUAAAUGACAAGGGAGUUAUGUCUAAUUUUAAAAUCUUGGGGGAGCUAAAUAAAAUUGUUAAAAAUCUCAAGAGAGGUUUCUGAAAUUAUCGAUAUUCUUUUGGCAGACACUUAGUAGCUUCUUAAAAAGCUCACCCUUCGGAGCAUAAACCACCGAGAAGAUUUCAGCACGUAUCAUCUUUCAGGGUAAAUUCCGAGGAAUCUGGUCUUAUUCAUUAUGGUAAGGUACAUAUCCCGGCUUAUAUUAAAGAAUUGCUAAGAAAUAGGGAUGACAAAGUUAUAAUGUUCAGAGAUUUCAGAAAAUGGUAGGCUAAUUUAUAGGGUUAAUUUCAUUUUGUCCCUCAAAUUAUACACAAAAUUUCAUUUCAGUCCCUAAACUUUAAAAUUGAACAUUUAAAUCCCCAAACUACAAAAUAUGUUUCAGUUAAGUAAAAUCAGUGACAGAAAAAAAAAACUUGACGGUGUCUUGGGAGCGCGAAGAGCACCCUCCUACAACAUGGUUGUGGAAGUGUUAUAAACCAAAAAAAAAUGGGGACAUAAAAUUAAUUUCAUCUUUUGUAAGUGUUAUAAACAAAAAAUGGGACAUAAAAGUCAUUUCAUCUUUUUUUUUUUUAAUCCUUUCCUUCUUCAUCCUUCCUUUUCCUUUUUUCUUUUUUCCUUUUCUUCUUCUUCCAUCGUGCUCUUUCACUUUUCCAGCCAAUAUCAAAAAAAAAGGGUGGAGUUCACUGAAAGGAACCCAACCAAUUGGUGCAGUAGACAACCUCCUUUCCCUUCCCCCUAUAAUUGUCAUUCACUCUCCAUUUUUUUCUUCCCUAAAUAGCAUCAUCACCUACAGCAGUAGCUUUUUUGUCGGAUCCGAAGUGCUGCCAAAGUUUGACCUGACCCGAGUGGUGGAAAUGUUCGUUCGGAUUAUUUGCAGCGAAGUUGGAGUAGCGAGUUCACUCGCUCCUAAAAUUGGCCCGCUCAGUCUCUUCCCAAUGAAAAUUGGUGAAAAGAAACUACAAAGGAUUGGAAAGGCCUCUUAGUUCAUCUUUAUGCUCAUCGUCAAAAAUCGUCAGGCCAAAAAGGAAAAUUUCAAGCUGAAUGCAUAAUUUAGACUGCAAAGCAGGGGAUGUGAACUAAAUUGGCUAACAGAUGAAAACAAAUUGAAGGGGUACUUGGAUGAGACUUCGAAAUUGAUAUCACAAUCGGAUUCAAAUACAGAAGGUUAGUAUGGUUUGGUAAAGAGGAAAAUUUAUGGGAAUUGAUGUCUGAUAAGUUUCUUGCCUCUUCUUGCAAUAUUCUUUCACUCAAUAAAACCUUCAAGGCCACUGCAAUCUCCAUGGAAGAUCCCAUACGAACAGAUCCAGAAACAAAAUUCAAGCUUCAAGUUGAAAUUUUUUUUAAACUUCUUGAUGCAUGUUUUAUCCCUGAAAUCUUGAUAUUGAAAAGAAACAUAGAAAAGUAGGAAAUUCGAUUAUGGCUAAGGCGGGUGUCAAUAGUGAAAAAGGAUUAGCGGUGAUGGGUUUUGGUGACCAGCAAGAUGCAGGGGUGGAAAAGGGAUUGGAAAUAGUGGGCUCGUGGGGUUGGGAGGGGAGAGGUUAGAGAGUGAUGGUGGUGGCUGAUGGGUGGCAGAGGUGGGGAUUCAACUGGGGAGGAUGGGAAAGAAGAAGAAUAGGGAAAAAAAAUAAGGAAAAUGGAAGGAUGAAGAAGAAGGAAUUAAAAAAGGGUAAAAUUAUCUUAUGUUCCUAUUCUUUUGGUUUAUUACAGAGUCUCACUAAUGGAGGGUGCUCUUCACGUAACUUAUUGCAGUGGCCAGUAUUAAACUGUGUUUGAUCUUAUUCAGGCUACUGCUUUUAGCAACAGAGCCACUGCCUGUAUUCUUGCAUACCUAAGACUAAGAGUCCAAUGCAAUACUGGCCACUUAGUUUCAGUUCUUCCAGCAAUAAUAAAAUAAGAGGAGGACAGUAACCGGCAAAACUGUACUUCGAAAGGCAUAAAUUUUUCGACUAAGUUGUACAAAAAGCAACACCAGCAGAGUCACUCAUACAAAACGAAUCACAGUUCCAGUAGUAAAAUUCUCAAGCGUAUCAACUGUGGCAGAUUGUGCACUAGAUGGGAACAGGUAAAUUUUCGCCACCAACUGCCAGAGGAAAGUCUGAAUCUCAUCAAACAACUUGAUCAACGAGAGCCUUAAGGGACAGUCAACAGCAUUAACUUUUUAAGCAUGCUCC